rnacentral:lncRNA from 1 species
AUUCUUAAAAAUAAUUUUAUGUGAGCCCCACAACCCUCCAAAAUAAGAGGAUGCCUUCAAAAUUUUGAAUUUUUAUUUUUAGGGACUAAAGUGAAAGAUAUGUAAAGUUUAGGGACUAAAAUUGAUAUGCAAAAGAACGCUAAAUAGAUGAUGGCAUGAUAAUGUCGUUAAUUCUAAAACCUCUUUUAACAGUUCUAUUUCAUCGCGAUGAAAUCAAGAGAUUUAAAAACUUGAUUGCAAAAGAAAAAAAAAAAAAAGAUUAGAGACCAAAAUAAAAAAUAGUGAAAAUGUUGGAGACCAAUGUGCAAUUAAUUCUUAAAAAAAAUUAUAUGUGGGCCCCACAAUUCCAAAAUAAGGAGAGGCCUUCUUUAGAUUGCCAAUUCAUAUAUUGUAAGAUGUGUAAUUAAUCAUUGUGGGCCCCACAUCUCUCCAAAAUAAGAAGAGGCCUCCUUUAGUUAGGUUCCCAAUUUAUUUAUUGUACAGAUAGAUAGACAAGGGGACCAAAAUAAAAAAUAGUGAAAAAGUUGGGAAUCACUGUACAAUUAAUUCUUAAAAAAAUUUGUAUGCACAAUCCACCAAAAUGAGGGGAGGCCUUCAAAUUUUUGAAUUUUUAGUUUUAUGGACUAAAGUGAAAGACAUGCAAAGUUUAGAAACUAAAAUUGAUAUGCAAAAGAAAGCUAAAUAGGCGAUGACAUAAUAAUGUUGUUAAUUCUAAAAUCUCUUUUAACGGUUCUAUUUUUAUAGCAACUAAAUCAAGAGAUUUGAAAACUUGAUUGCAAAAAAAAAAUUAUGGACCAAAAAAAAAAAUAGUGGAAAGCUUGGGAACCAAUAUGUAAUUAAUCCUUAAAAAAAAUUAUAUGUGAGCUCCACAAUCCCUAAAAUAAGGGGAGGCCUUUUUGGGUUCCCAAUUAGUGUAUCGACAAUUGUGUAAUUAACCGACCGUCUCUAGAAUAAGUGGCAAAGAGCUUGGUGGUUCGUUCCUGAGACCCAAGUUCGAAUUCUAAUUGAUUCACAUUUCUAGCUAAGUUUAUUUCUAAAUGAAAUAAACGAAGCAGAUAUCGUACUACCUAUCUCUCAAAAAAAAAAAAAAAAANAAGAAAAGACAAUUGUGUAAUUAAUCAUUGUGGGUACCAUAUUUCUCCAAAAUAAGAAGAUGCCUCCUUUAAAUUGCCAAUUCAUGUAUUGUGUAGAUAGAUAAAUAAAUAAAAUAAAGUAAAAUAAAUAAAAAAUAAAUGAUUCGGUCUCCUGUGGACCCAAAUUUAUUUUCUUUGAAUUCCGGGUCCUUUUAAACAUUGUGGUCCCAAAGAACAUGAGAAAACACAUUAAAAUUGGCGUGUACGGCAUUGCAUUGAACACCACAUGUUUUAGAAUAAAAAAAGAAAAAAAAAAGAAAAGGAAAAAAAACGAACAAUAAAAACCCAAAAAUAAAGAGGAAAAUACAAUAUAAUUUUGGUGUUUGGAACCAAAACCUAAUUAAAUUUCAAUUAACUUUUAGUCAAAAGAAUAAGAAUAAGGAUUGAUUGCAUUUAUAUUUCUACAAAGCAGCGAAAUUACAAAUUCAUCCUUACAAAAUUUUGGUUAUUAUUUAUAAAAUUUAUUAUAUAUCUCUUGUUUGAAGUUACAUAGUUUGUAAAUAUACCUCUCUCUCAAUUUAGGUGGGCAGUUAAACUUAAACUUUUUCUCAAUAAAAUAACCAUUUCAAUUUUCGAUAAAUAUUUUCUUAAAAUAUAUUUAAUGUUGUUUUUUAUUUAUAAACUGUAAAUUACAAAUUAUAAUUUUUUAAAAAAAUUGUUAUGUAUAAAAUAACACAGUUUUAGCAGUGAAAAAUUAAAGAUUAAUUGAAAACAGUCAAUAUGAAGAGUUAAUUUGCAUAUUUUGGGGAUUUUGAGGAAUGCAUUUGAUAGUUAAAACUUUGGAGCUAGGAAUACAUAUAAAAUUAGGAUAAUUGCUUACGUAUUCCUAAAAAGUCCCAGACUUUUUUAUUUACCUCGCUUAAAAGGUUAAUAUAAAAAAUAUCAUUUUAACGUUCCAAGUUCUUUCAAAUAUAUCUUUAGAGAUGUUAUCUUUGUAAAAUAACUAUUUUUCUUUUUCAAAUAUAUCUUUUUAUCUUUACUAGCUUUUGUUAUUUACCUUUAAGGCAUGUUUGGUUCACCUAUUUUAGACUAUGGAAUCGAAAUGGAAUUUAUUGAUUCCGAUAGUUGCCGUUUGUUUUAUAAGAAUCGGAUUUCGAUUUUCAUUCCACUCCGGAAUAGGAAUGGCUAAAUCCAUUUAUGAUCCAAUCCAGCUUUGAAUUCGGGAUUAGCUCUUUCCAAAGUAAACUAUUGAAAAUCCUCUUUCAUCAGCACCUACCUCCUCUCCCUUCAUCACUUUCCUCUCUCUUAAUCAAAACCCUCUCUCAAAAAUUUUAAAUUUUCAUUCCGAUUUCCAUUCCAAUAAUAAACCAAACAUUUUGGAUGAUUCGUCAUUUAAUUUUCUAUUUCAAAGCAAUCCAAUUUCAUUUCUCAUUCCUAUUCCAAUCAUGAACCAAACAAGCGCUCAAAUUAAAGGCAAGAAAGAUUUUUUUUUUUUUUUUUUUACUCUAAUAGAAAUUUAAUUGGUAUUUAACUGAGAUUGCUUAACAAAUAUUAAGAACGGAUUAUUUUUGAAUAACGUAAAAAUAUAUCAAAAAUAUAUUUAAAAUAAAAAUAAAAAUAUAUCAAUAUUUCAAAAAUUUUGAGAAAAAUAUAAAUAAUUAUCCCUAUAAAAUAAUCCCCAAAACUGUUAAUUGUAAUUGUAAUGCAAUAUAGAUUUUCCUCUUGGGAUAAACUGAAAGACACAAUUGAUGUAAACUCCCCUAUAAAAUACAUUUUGUUUUUAAAUAUUAAUAAAAGGUCAAGGGCAAUUUUAUAAAUUUACUAUACAAAUUAACCCAAGUCUCAUACUCUUCUGAUGUUACAUCAUCUAUUAAUGGUGGUCACAAUCACACUAACUCGACCAAACCACCUUUCCAGCUUUUUCCAAAACCUAAUAAAAAGAAACCUACCACAUGCCUCCCCCACAAAUAGGGAAAUAACGAAUUCAAAAUUUUAAAAAUUCGAAAUAAUAAUAAUAAAAAAACUAACUUUUCUUAAAUUUUUUUCAAAAAAAUGAGGAGAAAAAGAAAAAAUAAAAAAGAAAAAAAAUGACGAGCGAAUUGGCCCCAACUCGUAUUUUUAUUGCUUUCGCGGGCCGGAUAUAAUUUGCGCAUAGAGGAACUCGUUCCAGGUGUCCGGCACGCCAGGCAGGCACCAGUGGAUGCAGUCGGCGUACAUCGCGGGGUUCGCCUGCUGCUCCGGUGUCAGCAGCUUGCCCUGCCGGAGGGUGUGGACGGACGUGUGCGCGUCCUUCCGGACCUCCGAUAGCGCGGUGAUGUUCACGAAGUGGACCGGCGUCCCCCGCCGGUUCAGCCACCGCGCCGUCUCCGCCGCCACCGCGAACAGCCGCCAGUCCGUGCCCAGCUCUAGCGGCUUCGUCCGGUUUGCCACCGGCGUCGUCUCCAGCGCGCACUUGAUGCCGUUCGGAUUGCCCCACCCGGCACUCCUGGCAUGCAAAGAAAAUCACAAUAUCAAGACGCAAUUGAAAACAAAUGUACGAACAUUCGAACUUCAAGGAUAAAAUUGUAUGAAUGUCCGAUAUACACUUCAUUUUAGAGUAUACCAAUCUCAUAUACCGUUAUGUUUAUGUAUAGGGUAAAUUGCACGUUUCGUCCUCAAACUAUGUGCCACAUGGCACUUUAGUUCUCAAAUUUUGACUUUUUAUAAUUUCUGAUUGAAACUUUCAGAAUUGUUAUAAUUAAAUUUCAUAAUCUAGUUUAAGUUGACUAAAUUUUGUAAAAAUAAUAUGAUCUUUUAAUUAUUGGCUUAUUAUCAAUCACAAUACAACUAUAGUACUUCUACAUUAGCGAUAUAUCAAUAUUUAGUCAACCAAAUUAGUUUAUAGAAUUAGAUUGUAAUAAUUCUAAAAAUUCAAAUAAAAAAUACAGCAAAUUAAAGUUUGCAACACUUAUCACCAACCUCAUAGUUUGAGAACAAAAUGUGCAAUUUACCCUUUAUGUGUAGUAUAUCAAUAUCUAAGAAUAAGCUAUCACUCAAUUUAAAGAGACAAUUUAAAAAGCCAACUUGAUGAACCAACAUUUAAACUGAUAGCCUAUAAAACAUAUGUAGAAGAACUUUUAAGUGUUCAAACUAAGAAACUGAGCCGAAACCAAACCGAGAUUUUCGGAUUGUUUCGAAUUCGUUUUUUCCACACUAACCCAAAUAAUACUCUUCAAACAUCAAUCUAAAUUUCAAUACAUGUGAUAGAAAAUAUUCUUCGAAACAUCGAUGUAAUAGGAAACAGUUCAAAAAUUGUCUAAACACCCCUGAUUACAUGUGUGAAUGUGCCAUAAAAAUGCAGGAAACAGCCCAGAUCAUGGGUACGAGUGAAUGUGCCAUGAAGAUGUAGGAAAAGGUCUGUUAAAUAUAAAAAUAUAUAAACACUGUUCUCUAACAGUUUAAGCUUUUAGAGUACAGCGGUUGUUUCGUAUUACUUCACAUGGUCUGCAAUAUGUCUCAACACUCGCGAUCACGCGUGAAUAGAGGAUGUAUGACAUAAAAAUGACGAAUACAGGAAUCGAACUCCAAAUCUUCGCGAAAUGGAGGAAAUUUAGGAUUGAUUUUGAUAUCAUGUUUUCCGAAAGAUCGAUCAAAUAGAAAACGACAGAGAAUUUGUCUUAAGCAGAAAGACAUUCAGAUAUACCAUGUUUAAUUUGUUAAAAGAAUAAUCAAGUAGGAAAUAAAAACAGCAUUAAUCUUAACAGAAAAGACAUUCUCAUAGUUUAAGGGGGUUCUACAGGCCUAUUAUGUUUUUCAGAAGAUCGAUUAAGCACGAAAUUAAACAAAAUUUCUCUUAACAGAAAAGACAAUUUGCAGUUGAGGGGAUUCGCCAAAUUUCUACGAACUUUGAGCUUUAGAUCAUUUAAAAAUGACUACAUAAUCUUUAAAAUUUUGAUUUUACAACCUAACAUUUCAUUUUAUUUCAUUUUAGUUGUUUAUUAGUUUGAAAAACCAAUGCAUGCACCCGGUGCAUUUGUACAUUCAUACACUGCACUUUUAUUAUUCAUUCAUUUAUCUAAUUCUUCAAUUUUUACCAUCUGAUAAUUUAUAGCUUUUUAGUUAAAAAAUUAAGCAAUUAUAUUAACAACAUGCAUGAGAUGCAUUUAAAAAAGAAUAAAGAUCUAAUGUACAAAUAUCUAAAUGCACUAGUUACACGCAAUUACUUUUUAGAAGACAAAUCAAACUAUUUAAAAGAUUAAACAAUAAACUUAAAGAUUUUAAAAGUUGGAUAGUCAUUUUCAAAUAAUCUAAAGUUUUGAUCAAUUCUAUAUAAUUUUAUCUAACAAUUAUUAUUAUUUUUUGAGAGAGAAAAGUAGCAUAGCAUGCUACAGCUCCGUUCAAGCAUGGAAAAUAGUUUUUUUUCCAUAAAAUGUUUGAUUUUUUGUUUUAAAAAAAAAACUAACUUUUCUUAAAACCAAAUGUUUAAAAAAUUAAAAAACUAGAAAAGAAGUUUUCCAUGAUUUUUUUUUUCAUAUUUCUUCUAAAAACCAAACAGCAUUUUAGUCGGAAAUACAAAAAAUUACACUUCAAACAUAAAAUCUCUUAUACCAACUAUUAAAUUCUUUACCGCAUAUUAAAUAAUGGAAAACCUUCAAAUAUCACUACGGUGGUUUCGUACUUUUUUAUUUUAAUACCAUGUGGUUUAAGUGUAUCAAUUUAGUAUCCCGUAGUUUUAUUUUUCUCUUUUUGUUAUCUACUCUACUAAUUUUUUUUUUUUCUUCGUUAAAUCAGUGAAAAAGUUAAAACUAAAAACGUACUAAAGUGAAUAUUCGAUAAAUCUAGGUGGGGUAUUUGAAGUUUUUUGUCUAUAAUUUAACAAAAUGUUAACGGAGAAGCUGACGAAAAGAAAAAAAACAAAAUUAUAUAGUACUAAGUUGAUACAUAUUAAAAUAUAGAAUACUAAAAUAAAAAAAAUACGAAACCACGGGAGCGGUAUUUAAUGUUUACCUUUAAAUAAUUAAUUGAACAUGCAUUAAUGCGUAAUAACCUUUUUAGGCUAGGGGUCCCUUUUAGCACGUGCGAUUGGUGGUGUGCAUGAGUGUGCGCGAGCGAGCGAGCGUGAUAAUUGAAGCACUCCAUCAUUAUUAUUAUUAUUAUUAUUAUUAUUAUUACCAUAGAGAGAGUCAUGUGAUGUUGGGUACUCUCAAAGGGAAAACGACAAAGCGCUUUUAUGAACAGGUGCGUGACACAUCAUUAUUGUGGACCUUUCCCUAAUAAAAAAAAAACGAAUCUCGAGUAACGCAACAGUUGAAAAGGAUAAUUUUUUUUUUUUUUUUUGUUGUUGUAUUUUGCCUAAACUGCACAUUGGAUUCCCAAACUAUGAGAUUAGUUACGCUUCGAUUCUCAAAGUUUGAUUUACGAUUAAUUACAUAAAAUUUUCUAUAAAUAUAAAAUUUUUAUCCAUUUGACUUUAAUCGAAUAGUUAAAACUUUAGAUAUAAAUAAUAUUUUUAUAAUUAAGUUGGGCUUUAUAUUUAAAUUAAACUAAAAGCCAAUUAUUUACUUAUAUAUAAAAAUAAUAUAUGUAUUCAAACUGUUAUCGAGCCGAAUACGAGCUCGUUCGUGUUCGACUCGUUUAUCAAACGAGGUGAAAAAUUCAGCUCGUAUUCAACUCAUUUAUUAAUGAGCGAUUCGAUUUCGAUCUCAUUUUCAGCCGAACACGAGCCGGUUCGCGAACAACAAGCUGGAUUGCCACACUUAGUUCCAGCAUAGUAUAAUAAUACAAAUUCUCAAAGAAUCUUUCUGUGAGAAUCUUAUGAACAACUUACAAAAAAAAUUUAUUUAAUCAAGUAGAAUAAUAAAAAAUAUAUUUUGUGUGUGACUGAAUAUAAAAAUGAGUUAUUGAGCUGAAGAAGAAAAUCUAUGAAAAUAUAUAUAUUAUCCUAUUUGAUUAGGAAAGCUAUUAAGGUUUGGUUUUAGUCCAACUCCUGCAGAAUUUUUGGUACAAAAAAAAAUAAAUUAAAACUUCUACCGAUCUGCAACAUAAAGCUGAAAAAAAAAAAAAUUAUAAACCUCAAAAAGUGGAACCUAUGGAUUUUGGAUUGGGUUAGGAAUAUGAUGUGGUAGAUCUAGUUUGUUUAAUUAUUUCACCUUGUGUGGUGAGUACUGAGUACUAGCCUCAGCAUAAUUAUGUUGAGCACUAAGCUUUUAUUAAAGUUUUUCUCUUGCAUGCUUUUACGUAUUUAUAUUUUAUUAUCACUCUACUCUACGGUUCAAAAAAUUCCGGUUUUAUUAUCUUUCACCGUAAGAAUCUAUUAUAAACAAAAUAAUUAAUAAUAUAUUUUACGAAUCACGGAACGAUACAAUACAACAUUUUAUCACUUCAUAAUUUAUAAUUUACUAGAGUUGAAAAAGAACAGGAACCAACUCAACGUGUUUGUGAUUUUUCAUCCAUCGGAUCGCAUCGAAAUCCGUGCAGUGUUAAUAGAGAAGACUUGACGGGAUUCAUCGUUAAUAGUGCUGCACACGGAUCGUAAGAUGAUCCGUGCAGCUAAAAAGUCACGAGAGCUCAACAUACUUUUAAAUUUUUAACCGUCGAAUCGUCUCGAGAUCCAUGCAGCACUGAUAAAAGAGACUUGACGGGGCUCUCAUGUCGUUUACUUACGGUAAAAUAAAAAUGCGCUAAAUUACGAUGGCAAAUUAAAAAGAUUCACCCAAAACAUUUUAAAAGGAGGUUCAAAUUAAGAGAAAGAUCAAUGCUUACUUGAUAUGAAUGGGAGAAGAGCUCAUGAAGAACACCAUUGUUUUCCUCAGAUCCACAUUCUUCUCCACCCAUCUAGCCCACGUCUUCAGCACCCUCCGGUACGCGACCGGCCGAUCGAUCUCGUCGUACUUCGUCGAUCCUUUAUCGAACGAUCCCCGCCUUUCCCCCNCCCCCACCAAAAAAACAUAUUUUAAACAGACUCAGUUAGCUUUAACAGCUGAAAAAAUCAGAAACACCGACAAUAAAAAUGAUUCAUUUCGAACCAAAAUAGGAUCUUACAGGACUUUCAUUCUGGGGGUGUUCAUCCACCAAAUGUAGGUGUUGAAGAUGAGGUAGUCCACCCCCUUCCAGUUCGCGGCGUGCUUCGCGAUCGACGUCGGCAUGAUGAUCCGGUUCUGGAUGCUGUGGAUCGUCGGAUCGUCGGAGUUCGACUCCACCAGGAACGGCGCCCAGUAGAACUCCACCGUCGCGUUGUACUCCUAAUUUUGUUACACGUUUCAAAACAAAAUAAGCUAUAUUCUUACUUCAAUAAAAUUUAUUUAUUUUUACCUUCAACUACUCAAUUAGUAUCAGAUCCAAAUUUCAAAAUUUCUGAAAUUUAAAUUUUUAAAUUUGAAAAUAUGUUUACCUGGAGUGUGAACACAUUGAGCGAGCCAUUUUUGACCAGGGUUUUUUUGUCCCACGGUGCGACCCACUGGAGCAAGCACACCAUGGACUCCCACUGAUUCCGGUUCAACGAGUCCCCCACGAACAUUAAGCGCUUCCCCCGCAGCUUCUCCAGAAGCGCUUUUGCGUCAAACCUUAUCCCAAAAACACACACAAAAANNNNNNNNNNNNNNNNNNNNNNNNNACCAAAAAAAAAAAAAAAACUUAUUAGAUUAGAUCUGCGUGGAGAUCGAUGCUACCUAAUUAAUUUUAGAUAUAGAUAAUAAUUUUUUGAUAUAUUAUGCAUAGGUUCAAAUAAUAAUAGCAGUUAUUAUUAAUUAUUUACAAUGCAUGCCAUGCAGAUCUGCCUUAAUUAAUUACGUGUGUAUCUUUGUUGCCAAAAAUAAAAAUUAAAAAAUUAAAAAGAGGCCGCACAAAUUUUUAAAAAAAACUUGAAGGAAAAGAAAGAUUUUGCUCGAUCUCUCAGUAGGGAUGCAAAGCAGCUGAUCUGGGAGGAGUGUUCCAGGUUUUUUUUUUUUUUUUAAUUGUACUUCAACAAAAAUUUGGUCCAAACGUUAUGAGAUCAAAAUCACAAAAUUCAAAACAUAAUUAUAAUCAAAAUUUUUUGGGUAACAACUAGAAGAUUCUCAUUGUUUUCCUUAAUCCUCAUGCCUCACCACUGAAAAUCUCAGAUCUGUGGGGAGCAGUGGCAAGGACGGAGAAAUUGCACAUUUUUUCACAAGGAGAGAAAAAAUAAAAUUAUCAUUUUAAUACAAAGCGGGCACAAAAAGAGAGGAAGGAAUUUUUUUCUCUUUCUAAAAUAAAAAAAAAAAAUAGUACCAGUAUAGUCCGAAAAAAANGGGGGGGAAGAGUGAAAGAGGGUUUAAAGACCAGACAGAGGUUGGGGCAGAUCACGAUCGAUCGAUGGCGGUGGGUGGGCAAGACAGAGAGACAGAGAAAGAGAAAGGGUGGGUGGUGAGCUUGGUCCACUCUUUCUCUUUCUAUCUCCUCGUUAGAGAGAGAGAGAGAGAGAGAUUAGGAAUUGAGAAGGGUGGGUGUGAGGUCUACUCUUUCUCUUUCCAUCUCUUAUUUAAGUUUUUUUUUUCUAUAUUUUUUUUCGAAAAUUAUUUUUAAUUAGUGGAGAUUAGGGAUGUGAUAGCUGAUUAUUGAUAAUGUGAUGUAAAUAUUGUGAUGGGUGAUUAUUGAUAAGGCCACGUAAAUAUUAUAUAAGUGGCUUUUUUUUUUUUUUUUUCUCUGUGUGACACAAAAAAAUUCUACUGUAUGAUUCUUACAGUACAUUAUAAAUAACCAACCAUUCAAUUUUUUUAAAAAAAUAUAAUAAAAAUAUUUGUUGAAUAAUUAUUAUUAUUUUUUAGGAAAAGGUAGAGCAUGCUAACUGAUUUGUUUACUAAAAAUGUGAAUCAAUUAGGAUUCGAACUUGAAAUCUCAAGUACCAAUUACCAAGCCCACUGGCAUUCGAACUUGGGACAUCAAGUAACAAUCAUCAAAUUCUUUACCUCUUGCGCUAGCCAGGGACAUUCAGUUAUUAUUGAAAACGCUAUAUCAAUAUAAAGGUCAGACUUUUUUCCCUUUUUGAGACACAUUUUUUCUCUCCUCUUUUGAUUUGGAUGCAUGGUGAAGAAAAAAUCUAAAGUGCACUAGUUAUAUUGCUGAUGUGACAUUAAUUUCCAACUAAUUAGAUUUGCUUCACUCAUCUCAUUAUUGAUUAUUAGAGAAAUAUUUUUAUUUUAUUUUUAUUUUUUUUAAAAAAAGAUGUGAUUGGUUCGUAAGUGUUACAAUAUAGACUUUUUCAUGCAUGGUGAAGAGGAUGCUUCUUACAUUAAUCGUACUCUUUGGGGUUUAAUUUUUUAUUGUUUUGUGAUUUUAUUUGAUUAGUACUGUUUGGGGUUGUACCCUCCCAACAGGGGUCCAAACGGGAACAGGCGAACAGCUUCGUGGAAUCUAUAAGAGGGAGGUGGUGGACGCGGGUCAAAUGCGUAGCAUGUAAGCUUUUAUAUAUAUAUAUAUAUAUAUAUAUAUAUAUAUAUAUAUAUAUAUAGAGAGAGAGGUUUUACUAUCGAUAAUAAACGAACUCAAUUUACUACCGAUUUAUUUUCGUAUUAUAGCUUUCAAAUUGAUGAUGCGCACAUUAAACAUAAUCAACAAUAUUUAAACUAUUUUGGAAAUCAAAUUUCACACAUUUUCGAUAAUUGUUCUCUUGUGCCAUCAAGUGGAGCAGAAAAUGAAUGGCUGGAUAAUAAUAUGCCUUUAAAAAGUGAUGAUACAAUUUUAUAUUUGAGAUCUAGAGUUUAGAUCUAUUUUAAUAGUUUAAAAAAAAUUUUAACAAAAAUUUAGUUGAUUUGAUUCUCUAUACUGUUAAACGAGCAAAACCGUACCAUAUCGGCUAUUAAAAUUAUAGAUUUUGUGACCCUUUGAUCGUUCAGUUAGUGAUGCUAAAAAAUCAUGAAAUUUGAUUUCUAGAUAAUUUAAAUAGUCUAGAUUAUGUUCAACGGUGCCGAUCGUCGAUUUGGAAGCUGUAUCAUCAAAAAUAAAUCAGUAGUAAACCGAGCAGUUUACUACCAAUAGUAGCCCAAUCAAACUCUAUAUAUAUAUAUAUAUAUAUAUAUAUAUAUAUAUAUAUAUAUAUAUAUAUAUAUAUAUAUAUAUAUAAUUUUUGAGCUAUAUACCAUAGCUUUUCCAUAUAUAUGCGUAGCAUGUAUUUAUAAGUAAUCUUGUGAUGCUUAUUGUUUUGUAAAUAAUUAACUUAGUAGGGGUGCCAUUAAAAAUCUAUAUAAAUAGAGUUGCCCUAGAUAUAUACACCACCGCGGUAUUUUAAUUACGGACUAAAACAUGAGAAGUUUGAUCCUUCCUCAGCUCGCAUGUUUAUUAUUAGGAUUUUUCAAGUACCCACAAGAAAUAAGAAAUAAAUAGAAAAUUUUCUUUGCUUUCAGGUACGAGCAUCUUGUCUUAUAGGCUUAAUUAUAGCAGAAAAUUAGAUUACGUCAAAUCAUGUUCGAAACAAUAUAUCCGAAGUUUGUGUGAGACUGAUUGGACCGAAUCAUAAUCGAGACUCGUAUAUGCUUUAAAUGAGUUAGUUGUAUAUUUUUAAAAGCUCUGAUUUUUGGAAUUAGCGAUUAACGCCAAUGAUUCAACAAAUGGUAUUAAUUACGAAUUUUUAUCGCAGCGUCUAAUUAAUAUAAAGUUUUAAAAUUUUUUUUUGAGAGAAAGGUAGUAUAUUACCCGCUUCGUUUAUUUUGUUUUAGAUAUAAACUUAACUGAAAAUGUGAAGCAAUUAGAAUUCGAACCUGAAACUUCAAAUACCAACCACCAACUCCUUUGCUACUUGUGUUAAAGACGGUCGGUAAGUUUAGAAUUAUUAAGACGUUUAUGUUAACAUUUAAUGAACAAUAAAAAAGAAUUACUAAGAUGGUUAAAUGAUGACAAUACAAAAUUAAGGAUAAUUUGGUGCUAUGUACAAACUUAAGGACUUUGUAGAAGAAGAGUACCACUCACAAUAUGUACAGAAGAUUUUAUAUAUUUUAGCCUUGUUUUAUAUUUAGUACCUAAAACAUACUAUUUAUUAAGAACUUAUGAAUUUUUAAAAAUAUAUACCAUCUACAAUAUAGUUUUUUUAUUUUAAAAAAUAUAAAUAUAUAGAUAUAAUAACACAAGUCGGGAUUUCAACCGGUCGAAUUCGGACAGAUUUUAAAAAAAAUAUGAACCUGAACCCGACUAGUAAAUCCGAAAUCCGACAUAUUUGAAAAAUCUAUAUUCAAAUUCAAAUUUAACCAAAAAUUCGAAAUCCGAAUCCGUACCCAAAAUAGUUAUUUUUUUUACCAUAUUUCAAAAUAUAUUAUAUUAAAUUUAAUUAAAAUUUUUAAAAUAUAAUUUCAAGUAUAACAACAAAUACUUUUAUAUAGAGUCCGACUGGGAUACUAUUGAUAACACAAAGUGUCACGCCCCGGAUUACACAAUUUUCGGGCAUGUCGACAAAUCCGCCGUAUUCAAAGAAUUUUUCUUGUAUACGAAGCGUAUCGGUAACAGAAAAUAUACAAUACUACAACCAGUAGUAUAGAGCUGUAAAGAAACCAAACAGGUAGAAUAACACAAGUCUCACAUACAAACAACAAAACGCUAUACAAAGGUUCUCGCUCCAGCGAGUCAUAAUAACUGUAUGUACAUGAACUCAACAAAAUAAACUGAAACUACUUGCAGGGGUGGAUCCUCUAUCUCAGCAACUCGUCGGAUAGGGCUCUAACUCGCGACGCCCUUGCCUCGGUCCAGAUCAGCAACAGCAGCUGCCGAAGACGAUGGCUCUGCAAAAUAGGGUAACAACAGGGCGUGAGAACUACUGUAAAACAAGUAGUCCUCAGUGGGUGCCGCCCUCAACAAUAUCGGUCCACCCACUAAGUCUACAGAAGGGAGUAAGGAUAGUAGUACAUGCAGGAAUAAAAUCUACCGCUAUGAAUCACUAUAUUAUCAUGCUCUACACUAACCAACUGUAGGAAAUGUCAAAUCUGACUCAAUUAAAUCGGGACUGUAAGCAUACCCGUCCCUGUGACUAUGAACACACCCGUCCCUGCCCAGUUGCGACUAACCAGCUACCUCCACACUAUCUAGUCCGUGGAGAGCAAGUCCAACCGGCAUGAGCGACACCAACGCGAAAGCACAACGCCCGUCUCCGGAGUGGCACUCGUGGGAGCUAACCAACCGAGUAUGCAGCGUAUCUCUGUCGAGCUCAAUCAGGCUCUACCUCAAGCCAAAAUCCAAGUAACCGACUCUAACUGGUCUAACCACCAACAGGUCACGUGCUGUCACACCCCGAGCUCCGCCAAUUUGGUCGGAUUCGAGCACAUGACAGACGCCGAACGGACAGUACUUCCCCUAUCCACCCAAGGCUCCAACAACAAGUAUAUUACAAGCAAAUCAUAAAAGAGAAUUGCGGAAUAUACAAGGUUUGCACGAGGGCAAACAACAACCACAAGUGAAAUCAUCGAAGCUAUCUAAACAUCCAACAUACAAGUCAUUUGAUUUCCUUUGAAUCAAACACAAGUAGUCUAUUACAUCUACAUCAUUCUUUCACAUCACGUUUUUCUUUAACCAAAUACAUUGUUUACACCCUUCUUACAUUACCCAAAAUAUAAUUUACAUUUCUUGUUUUACAUCAUAUACAGUUCAACACCUACAGUUGAGAACACCAAAAUGUAGGGUAUACCUAUAUCUCGAGGGCCGCUAGCUACGGCGCAACACCCUUGCCUCGAUCCUCCGCCGUCUCGCUCACGCACGGAUCUACAGGGUUAGUGGUAAUGAAAACUAGAACGAAGUUCCCAGUGGGUUCGGCCACCGACCACGCCGAUUCGCCCACUAGGUCUAAUUCAGGCAUAUGUAUUUCAAUAAAGAAGGAUAACAAACCAACUAAUGCACUUCUAAUACAAUGCCUGCAAGAAAGCAAAUCACAGAUAAAUAUUCACAUUCAAAUACAUGAUGAUUAUGCAUGCAUGUCCUUUUCACUUUCCUUUGGCCUUUACCCAAUCAACCUGGGGUGCUCCUGGUUUACCCCAACUCACAGUCCAUAUAUCCCGUCUAACGAGAGAGGCGCAAGGCACAACCACCCGAAGGAUCUUCGCCGCGCACUUUCACCUAUGGUGUUUUAUUACUCCGGAGUACACCGCUUGUAGAGGAGCGACCUCCACAAGCCGGAACCAAUACCUGUGAGUAUGAUCCCAUCCUCAAUUUGAGGAGGUAUAGCCAAACCUGUCUCAUGCCUCAAUAUCUCAAUGCUAAUGAUAGGUUCUACCAUAUCAUAUACCGCCAAUCUGAGCCGCAAUGGUCCUGAUGCCGUGAUACGCAUAAUGCCACUUGAGUUAACGUUGUUUAACUAUACUCAUUUCAAUGCCAAUCGAGUCACUGUAGUCAAUGUCACCGUUAUUUACUAUAGUCAUAGUCUUCUCUCACAUUCACAUGCAUAUAGGGUUAUUCGUUUUUUUGUUGACAUGUGCCUAUCUCAUUCACAAUAAUCUUAAGCAGAUAAUUGAUACAAUCAACAUAUACCAUUCAUUACCCUACAUGCGAGAAUGUAAUAAUAACAACAUGCUCAAAAGUAGUGACAUAGAUAUAGAAAGAGACUCGGUGUUUUCGGAUAGCACCUCCCACCUUUGUGUGAUGCUAGGAUGCCGUGGUCCUGUUUUCACGAUUUUUAGACACUUUCGCCGCGAGCUGCGGAAAUCUAUACCAACUCGGCUUCUUUUUUCAAUAUCUUCGCGCACGCUCGUCGUAUCGCCAAAUUGAGCGCACCGAUGCGUUCGUUGACCUACCAAUUAGGUUAAAAAGAGAUCAAUCCCAAGAUUGAAUCUCAAAAUCCAAAAACCCUAAAGUUAGGUCCUUGUACAACAUUAUCUUCUUCAACUAAGUUCCUAAUAUGGAUAAUCAUGGAGGGAAAUACCAUAGAAGCUCCUAGAUGCAACAACUAGAAGCAGAAACUCAAAACUUAACUUAAAAUCACAAGAACUCACAUUUGGAGUCCAAAACUUUCCUUCAAAGCCUUGCUCUAGCUUGCUCUACACCUUGGAGAGCUUCUUCUCCAAGUUUUUCUCUUCCAAAAGCCCUUUUGGUCCAAGCCCUAGAGAGAGAGGGAGAGAGAAAGGAGAGGUUUUUUAGAGAGAGAGAGGGAGAGGUUUGUGUGAGGGAGAGCAAAUGAGCUCUCACCCAAGCCCUAGCUCAAAUAACCCUUCACAUGUCACUUUUGCACAUAAGCUCCUCACAUUUCCAUUUUUGCAACCAGCCCUUACUGGGUAAUUUCGGGCUCGGGGACCGGUCUCUCCCUUCAGGAACCGGUUCCCGAGAGCUAUCCUGCAAUCUGCGCAGAAGGAGACCGAUCUCCCCCCGACACAACCGGUCUCUCGGGACCGGUCUCCCGUCGAAGGACCGGUCCCCGAGAGCUCGAUCUCCAGGACUUAGCCGAUUUUUCACCUCGUUCGGCUGAUCAACAUUCGGGAACCGGUCUCUAACCCAAGGGACCGGUCCCCGAGACUAAAAUUUCUGGGACUUCUCCAGAAUUGCAGUUUCACUCUCUCGGGUGCCUUUAUACUUUACAUAUAGGCUCCAACGCACUUCUAGCCUAUAGUAACUCGUUCCUUUCCGCGUUCGGCACAUUUCGACGGAACUCGGCACGGCUUACAGGGAAUCACUAUGUUACACGUGCCCUCGGCACAAUCCGUCGCCAAAAAGGCGAUACAGGUUCACCGUCAACCUCGACGGUACCCAACAGUCCGGAACAGCCUGAACGCUACUAUAAAAAUAUACUCGGCAUCCCAGCACGAGUGUAACUGAAAGCUAAACUACCCGGAAUACUCACUAAGAGGAUACUGCUACAGUAUAAAAUAAUACAACGGCCCCUAGGGCUAAAUCAGAUAGUGUAAUUGAUGACAGGUCCAGCUCGCCGGUUUUCUCCUAAUUUAAUUUCCAAGUCCAACAUGUAUAAAUUACUUAAUUUAUAUCAUAUGCUCCAAAUAUAGAUUUGCAAUUCACAUAAUAAUCCAUGAAUUCGAGCUAAAGUAAACUACACAAAAUCUAAAAUUUAUACAUGUUGACUACUAAGCACUUAGGAGUAUAAGCCGAUGAUUAACCCACCUUAGUCGCUAAUCCCCGACAGCGAGGAAGUCCCGACACAAGGGAAUACCCUGCUGGAUCAACCGAAAACCUCCAAAGCCAGAAGUCAAGCUCCCGCCAAACUCUACACGUAGAAUCCGACAAUAAGCAUCAAUUCUGCCUCAAAAAUAGCAGCAGAGAAGACUAUAAUUCCGACCCAGCAAACCUUCACCAAAUCCAGCAAAUAAGGGUUUCGUGGAUUCCUCUCGAAGUUCUGAAUCCAACGAACCAAGUCUCGUCGAAAUCCGACGCUCCUACGCCGAGAACGAGCCGAAACACCGACGGUCGACGCUGGAAAUCAGCAAAACAGCACCCACGAGCUCAAAAUAGCACGUUCAAAUAAUUCAGGGAGGAAAAUUAGAUACCCACCUCGACAGCGAUUCCAGCGCCGACGUGACGUUGAGAACAGCGAAAACACUCCCUCGUCCGGCCUCCUUGCGACACAACGGCGGCGAACGUACGGCCGAACGGCUCCGCGGCACGACGUCAGCGAUGAAAUACUCUACCCGAGCUCCUCCACGACCGGUUUAGCUAGAGAGAGAGAGAAGAAGAAGAAGCAGGAAGAGAACUCCCUCUCAAACUCUCUACACCUGUAAAUAGCAAAGGGGUGGAGUGGUGACACGAACGAGGUGAGAAAAGACCCGAUUGCCCUCUCACCUACCCUGGCGUACCGGUACACGAGCUCACGUACCGGUACAAGAAGCCAACCCGAGAGCAGUCUGCGCGCAGCUAGUGCAGUGUACUGGUACACCACGAUGGCUGUACCGGUACAGCAAGCAGAAAAAUAGCUAUUUGCAGAUUUUUCUUGCUAAAUGCUGCUCUUGCGUCGCACAGAGUCCGUUUUGCGUCUAUUUCGCGCCAACACGACUCAGACUUGUCCCGACACUCUCCAGAGCUGUCGACAAGCCUUCACUGCCGAACACCAGGGAUCUCACACAAAGUAUUUGAUGCUAUCAAGUUUUCUGUCGUAUAGAUUUAACUCUUUGACUAUUUUUAUCCGUUAGAUUAUACUAUUAAACUAAUAACUCACUCAACCCUAGAGGGCCCACAUCAUUCUAACCGUAUAUUUUUUCAUCCAAGGGCCGAAAACCUAAUAGCGCUAAUAAUUUGGUGCUAUUGAUAGUAUUCUAGUCUAGUUCCUUAUAUAUAUAUAUAUAUAUAUAUAUAUAUAUAAUAUAAUAUAAUAUAAAAUUUGUUGGCAUUCGGUUAAAUCGAAUCGGGUACGCCCAUAAGCGGGUUCGAUCCGACGGAUGUUAUGUUAUCUAAUUGGAUUGGAAUUAAUCUCGCUUUCAAAUUGGAAAGUAAUUUGAGAUGAAUCCUAGUCAUAUUAGGAUAACAAUUAAUAACCGAUUUGGCCUCAUCUCUAACGCUAUUAGGAUUUUGGAAUCCCUUAUAAAUAUGCGGGCGAUCCCACAUAAAAUAUAGAACGAAAAAGAGAGAAACAAGAACGGAAAAAGAGAGAGAAUAAGAAAAUAAUAGAGAGAAACCGCAUCCUCCAUUGAUCUAUUAUUCUAGAGGGACUUGCACGGUGGAUUUGCGAUCGCGCUCGUUUGUAGUUCGAUCCACCGCGAGUUCGGGGAAUUAGAAGAUUUUCAAGAAAGAUUCAAGGACACGUAAAUCAAUCUAUCCGAUCCGGCUCGAAUCGCUUCCGCAAAAAUGUACGAACCGAUAACUGCCGCUGCGUUCUACAAAAUUAAUUCGGAUUCGGAAUUUGUUCGAGUUCGGAUCAGGUACAGAUAAAAUCUAUAUCUGAAUCCAAAUUCAUCUAGUUUUCGUUUUCUAUAUCAGUAUCUAAUACUAUACACGUUUAGCAUAGGAUAAAUUCACUUUAUUCGGAUAGGUUCGAAUAAAAUUCGGAUAUCCGUAUAUAUUGACAUCUCGAAAUACAAGAAUAUUUUAUAUUUAUAUUCGAAAAUAUGUACGUUCAGCAUAGAAUAAAGAUUUAGAUUUAGAUUUAGAUUCUUGAUAAUAUUAUAGUUAUCCGUACCCAUCCACAUUCCUAAAUACCAGGAUACUUUAUACACGUAACUUUGUUAGUCAUUAAAAAUAUAUUGUACCAUGCAGAUACAUUUAAUUGUCGGUUAGGUUGUUACCAAUCAAUAUGUGUGGUUACGGGGACAGUUAAUUAAAAUUUAGUGGCAAUUAAGUUGGAUAUAUAUUUUGGGGAAUUUAAUUUGCAAAAUUUGUUAAGUAAAAGUACCAAGGAAUGAGAUGCACCAACACACUAUUAUAAAUCAUAUCAUGCAUUGCAUGUGAUCCGUACUCUUGGCUCUGACCCGUGCACCGAUCGUGGUGGGCCCGAUCUAAUUAAGACAAUUAUUGGUCUUUGUCUCAAAUUUUCCACACAACUUUAUCACUACCUUUGGAAAAGUCCCCUGUGUAAUAGUGACACUGUGUAAAAAUAAUAUGAUAUUAUAUAAAAAAAACAGUUUAUGGGAUCAUUGGUGUUGGCCAUUAGUUUUAAAAAUUCAAGUGAUAGAAAUACACCAUCAAUUCAUUCAAAAAUUAUAUAGUUACAUGUAUCUUUAACUGUACUGCAGUGUAAAUUUAUUAUUUGAUUUGGUAUAGUUAAGCUCGACAAUUGCAGUUGCAUUUAUAUAAGAAGGUCCAACUGUUGUAGCUGGUACUGCAACCGUUGGGUCGGCGUUGUCACACCCGUUUAAAUAAAAAAACAACGUGUGAUUUUUUUUCGUUAGCUUCACUUUUAUUUAAUAAUUAAAAAAUUACAUGAUUAUUUUUUAUGUUUAGAGGAGGUAAUAUCACCCUUUUAUUUAAAAAGUAAUAGGAUUCAUAAAUAUAAAUUUCAGCUUCAGUCUACCAAGCAGAAAAAAUAUAAUUCUAUAGAACCAAAUAGAUUGGGUGCAGUUACAGCUAUAAUAUUUGCAACUGCAUAUAUUUUCAACUAUACUGUUUUGACAACUACAUCCAACUAAACGGUCCCUUAAGGCAUACGGAAACAGUGCUUACAGGCUCGUUAAAGUAUCGAGCCGAAAAAUUCAGCUCGUGUUCGGCUCGUUUAUUAACGAGCCGAACACGAGAUGGCUCACGAGCUGGCCAACGAACAAUAAAUUAAAAAGAAUUAGAUUAAAUAUAUAUAAAAAAUAAAUUUAUAAAAUCUUAUCCAUUACUUUGAUCUAAUAAUUGAAACUUUACAUAUAAAUGUGUCUUUUUAUAAUUAAGCUCGCAUUUAUAUUUUUAUUUUGCUAAAAAUUAAAUAAUAAAAAUAUAUAUUAUAUAUAAUUAUUUAUUUAUAUAUAAAAAUAUAAAUUAAAUAAAUUAUAUAAAUAUAAAAUAUAUAUAUUCGAGCUGUGGCCUAUGUAAAUACAUAGGCCACAGAAAUAUAUGUUCUGGGCUAGUGUCGCAAACUAGGGCCUCAGUCCAACAAAUCUNCCGAACACGAGCUGGCUCGCGAACAGCGAGCUGGAUUGCCACCCCUAUUUACAGGUCUCGAUUAUGGCUCGGUACAACCAGCCUUAUGUUCGAACAUGACUUGGCAGAAUUUGGUCUUCCACCAUAGAGCAAGACGCUGGCCACUUUAAGCCAACAAUUAGGACAACAAACGACUAACAUUUAAUAACAUUAUUAUAUUUAAUAAUAAUUUUUAUUUAACUAAUUAAAAUAAUUCAAAGUAAAAGUUAGAAGCUCUAGAGAUAUUAAUUGAAAAAAUUAAAGGUAAAAACUAAAUUUAGUAAAAUUAGCAUGAGAGACAAUGGGAGAGAAUUCAAAAUCAAUUUAAAAUUAAAACUGAAAUUUAAAUUUAAAUUUAUGUUUUAAAUUUGGAAUUCAAAAUCAAAGUUUGAAAAAAAAUAAAAAAAUGGAACUAAAAUCUAAAAUUUAAAUUUAAAUCAAAGCACAAAAUUUGGAUUUAAAAUUCUGAUCCAAAAUUCAAAAUACAAAAAUUCAACUUCACAAUGAGAAUUAAAUUUAAAAUUCAUACCCAAGAUCAAAAUUAGAACUGAAAUUUGAAUUCAAAAAUCUAAUUGUAAAUUUUGAAAUUUGAUUCAAAAUAUAAUUUAACUUUAAAAUUUAAAUUUAAAUAUAAAUUUAUGUUUUGAAUCCCAAACCAAAAAGAAUUAACCUCCCAAAAAUUAAGUUGAGGACCAAAAUUAAAAAAGAUGCUAAAAUUGGAGACUAAAUUGUAAUUAAUCAAAACAAUACAAAAUAUACCCCCAAAAUGGCUGCAGACUUUGCAUCCAUCCACCGACCGUCCCUAGAGCAAGUGACAAAAGGCUUGGUGGUUGGUACUCGAGACUUAAUUUCGAAUCCUAGUUGAUUCACAUUUCCAGCUACGGAUGUCAAUGGGAAUGGAUAUCCGAAAUUUUAUCCGAAUCCGAACCCAAAUGAAACGGAUAUAUCCAGUGGAUAUGGAUAUGGAUUCGGAUAUGGAUAUCAAAAAUAGAAACCCGACGGAUAUAGAUUCGGAUAUGGAUUUUGAUUGUACCCGACCCGAACCCGAACCCGACCCGAACCCGAAUUUAUUUUGUAUUAUAUAUAAUAUAUAUAUAGAAAAAUUUGAUGUUAUAUUUGAAUUUGUAUUUUAAAAAUUUAGGUUUAAUAUAAUAUAUUUUGAAAUAUUGAAAAAAGAAAUAAUUGUUUCGGGUUCAAAUUUUCGGGUUCGGGUUCGGGUUCGGGUUUCGGAUUUUUGGUCGGGUUUGGAUAUGGAUUUUUAAAAUCCGUCGAGUUCGGGUUCAGGUUCGGGUCUCGGGUUUGGAGUCGGGUUCGGGUUCGGGUUUUUAAAAAUCCGCCCCGAAUCCGACCCGUUGACAUCUCUAUUUCCAGCUAAGUUUAUUUUUAAAUGAAAUAACGAAACGGGUAACAUGCUACCUAACUCUCUCUCAAAAAAAAAAAGAAAAAAAGAAAAAAAAAACUUUGCAUCCAUCCCAUCCAAGGGUGAGAUUCACUCUGCUAGUCACAUCAUGUUACUAGUGGAAGAGUAGGAUGUACACCUAUUUUUGGGUGUACACAUAGUUUCUUCCAAAGAGCAAUGCAAACAGGUACAUAUUAAAAUGGGAUGUACAUUUUACACCCACUCCAUUCUAAGAUUAUUUUUGUCACUUUAAUUUUUUCAAAUUUUUCUAAAAAUUAAUUUAAUUUUUGUCAACUUAGAUGUACGGACAUUUUGUUUUUGGGUGUACAAGAAGCAUUUUUUUCUUUCCCAAAUAAUUUUCCUCAUGGGAGCUUCUGCGGUUGAGGCGUGGAAAAAAUGCGUUAAUGCACGAAAUUGUAUUCGGCCGCCCUUCCGAAAUUCACGCACGUUUUGGGCCAUCAAAAGUUGGGCUGACGGCUGCUAAAAGGUCUUCUUUUCGUAAUUUUUUGAAAUGGACUAAUUGCAUACAGCUUUAUGUAAAUAUAUCGAAUAAUAAUAUUCAUAUUUUUUCACUGAUUUAUUACAAUUUAGAGUAAUAUUUAUUUUUUUAACAGAAGAUAGUAAGUAAAAUGAUACGAGUAAAAAUGUCAAUUUUCAACCGUCGUAUUCUUUUUUUUUUACCAUCACUUAUAUUAAUAUAAGAGGGGUAAAAAUAUCAAUUUAUCUCAUUCACUGAAUAGGAUCAAGUAUUUUACCUAUGAUUAACUCUAUUUUUCUAACGGAUCCAAAAAUUCCCAACGGUCUAUCUUUUUCAUUUCUAUCAUCACAAAUAAUAUAAAAGGGGUAAAAAUAUUAAAUUACCUCAUUUACUAAUCAGGGUUAAGUAUUUUACCUAUAGUUAACUAUAUUUUUCUAACGGAUCCUAACAGUAGAGAUAUAUUUGGAAAAGUUAGAACCUUUGCAGGAAUAAAUAUGAAAAAUUAAAUCUUGUAGGAAUGUAUCUGCUAUUCGAUAUGUUUACAAGUAGCUGUAUAAAAUUAAGCUUUUUGAGAAAAAUACUAUAUGUACCCUCUAGGAGGUACAUUUUACAGUACUCUUUAGUCCAAAAAUUUAUAAAAUUUAAAAAUUUUUUAAAAAUUUUUUUAAAAAUUAAUACAGAGCAAUGCUAGGCAGUAGCCAUAAAGUGUAAAUUUUACACUUACAGACAAUUAUUGGUCCCCCUGUUUUAACUUGUUAUGUCAAUUUUUUAUUUUAUUAACACCAAAUUGAAUUUUUAUCGACCCUCGAACUUAGAAGUAUAAGAUUUACACUCCUAUAAAAUGUGUACCACUAGUAUUUAUAAUUAUUGAAGAGAAAUUUUACUUACGCACCUCAAAAGAAGGGUGUAGUUCUGACACCUUCCAUUCUAGAAUUUACAAAAAUUCAAAUAAUUUUUGAUAAAAGUAAAAAAAAUUGAUGUGACAAAUAGAAAGUUAAUAUUUUUUUAAUAAAAUGGGUAUAAAAUGUAUACUCUAGUUUGGAGUGUAUCAGUAGCAAUGCUUAUUUAUGAAAAGUAAAAUUAUAGUGAGACCCCUCAACUAUAUGCUUUUUUAUUUUUUUGAAGCAUGUCUCUCAACUUUAUUUUCUUGGUUGACGAGUCCUGGAAUUUUAUUGUUAUUAUUUUUUCUUGAAAGAAUGAUAGGACGAUAUCGACUUCAUAUAUUUUUAUAGAAAAGAACUUAGCUGGAUAUGCGAAGUAAUUGAAUUUCGAACUUAGAAUCUUAGAUACUAAUUAUUAAGCCAUUUGCUACUUGCGGCAGGGAUGUCGAUAAUUUUUUUUAUUGAAAUAAUUUUAGUUUGGUAGGUUAAAUUUUUUAUUUUGUUUAAUAGAUUUUAUUAGCUAUUAGUCAUUAUUAUUUUAAUUUUAUUCGGUAGAAAGUGAUUAAGGAUUCGUUUAGUACUAAGGGCUGUUUAAUGCUAUUGGAUAAAUAGAAGUUAGAGUAAAAGUAUAUAGCGAUAUGAUUUUUUAUUUUCUAAUAAAAUCGUAUAAAAUUUAUAUUUUAACCAAAUUAUUAUGAUAUGGGAAUAUGAUAUUAUUUGUACAUGAAAAUAAAUUGAAUUUAUUUUACCAUGCUUUUUAACUGCAUGUAACAUAACAUGCAUCCCUCCAAUCUCUAUGAAAUAAGAAAUCAUUAAAUUCGAUGGAACUACCAAUUAUUUUUAUGAAAAUCUUAAUUAGUUAACAAAAAUCUUUCAAGUUUAAAAAAAAUAAAAGUAAAGCCCUCUUUAGCAUCAUUGUUAUUUCUUACAUUCGUUAAAAAACUAAUUUUAUAUAUUUUGACAAACUAAAUAUGGCAAGUUCUUUAAUACUUAUAGGUAAUCUAUUGCCCACUACUCUUUUUAUAGAAAAAUUUAUUUAGAAAAAUAAAAACAAACACGAUACCAAAAAAUGCUAAAGAAAUGGCAGUAAAAACAAUAUUAAUUUGAAGGGAAUAUUUUUUUUGGCUAAAUUACAGAAAACCUCAUUGUAAUAACCCGCUUUUUCAUUUUCCCUCCCUGACAUUUAAAAACCUAUACUUUGCCCCCUUGUAAAAUAAAAAAUGUGCACUUCACCCCCUACCGUUAGGAUUCCGUCAGGAUUCUAUUAAAAAAUAUAUUUUUAUGCCGAAAAUAUCCCUCCGCCAUCUCCUUGUUGCUUCGACUCCCUCCGGCUCGCCACCUCACCGCCGCCUCGCUGCCUCGCCGCCUAGCCGCCUCGCCGUCCUCCACUGCCUCGCCCUCACCCACAUCCCCUUCGCCGUCCUCCGCCGUCUCGCCUUCGCCUUCUUUACCCUUCUCCUACUGUCGCCCACCUCGGUUUUCUCCUACUGUCGCCGAAAUCGAGGGCGGCGAGGGUGCAGGAGGAGAAGGGGAGCAGGUGGAGACGGAAAUGGAGAGAAAUUGCGGCCGAUUGAGAUGGGAAUCACGGUCGAACGAAGGGGCGGCUGAGGAAGAUGGAGAAGAAGACGACAAUAGUGAGGGGCAAAAUGGUCAUUUUACACACCGUAACCCCCCUGUGAACAUUUUUCAUUUUACAGGGGGGCAAAGUGUAGGUUUUUAAAUGUCAGGCGGGGAAAGUGAAAAAGCGGGUUAUUACAGGGGGAUUUUCUGUAAUUUAGCUUUUUUUUUUUUUGAGAGAGAGAAAGAGAUAGGUAGCACGCUAUCCGCUUCGUUUAUUUCAUUUUAAAAUAAAUUUAGCUGAAAAUAUGAAUCAAUUAGAAUUCGAACUUGAGACCUCAGAAAUCAACUUAGGAUUCGUUGAAAUUUUUAAUAUUAUUAAAAAUACAAUACAAGAGACUAACAAACAACAGCUUUUGAACAACGCAGUACAAAAUUUAUACUUUUUUUGAAAUAAACAGAUGGUAUUGCUCUUUCAAAAUUACCAACAGCGCGAGAGGAUCUCCAUUAAAGUGCCGGUACAGGUCGCUUGUCUAUCAUGGAACCGCUGGGACCCACUCUGUGUCGGCUUCUUUAAUGCAAAUUGUUUAGGUCUUGGAUUAAGAGGCUGCUUAGAAUCGAAAAAUCGGAGAGCAAGAAUGAUUUUGCAAUUUUGAUGCUAAAAGGAAAAUCAACUUAUACGACUUUUCCAAGUCAUAAGUUCAACCUUUGAAGUAACAAUUUAAUCUAGUUCAAACAAUAAAGAGAUGGUAAGAGAUUCAGUCAACCAAGUUACAAUUCAUUCAGGAAAAAAUUUUAUGUGUGCCCCAAUAAAAGCAUGUAUUUACAAGAAUACUCCUAUAAAAUUUGAAAUAUUUUAAGUGCCCCUCUAAAUAUAGAACACUUUCAAAAAUAUCCUUCAAAAUACAUUUUUGUUAAAAUCCACAGUAACAGCAACCAAUAUACCGAUUUUACCUUUUUCAUAAUUGCCCUUCUAAAUGUUCCAACUAUUACUAAUGAAGGGUUAAUUUCAUUCAUACCCCUCUAAACGUUCAGAUUAUCAUAAAUAUCCUUAUAAAUUUGAUUAUAUCACAAAUAUUGUUACAAAUACUUACUAUCUUAUAAAUAUGUUCUCGUCGUUAACUUCUGUCUCUCAACCAAACAUCUAUUUUAGAUAGAUUAUCAUGAAUUAGUGAAAAUAUCCAUUUUGUCAUGAAUUUUUUAAAAUUUUUUGAAAGAGCGCUUUAAUGUAAUGAAAUGUACAAUAAAUAAACUUUCAAAACUGUCACUUAUUAGUAAUUAGUUUAGAUAAAGAUACAACUAUUCAAUUUAAAUACUAUUAAAGUAUUAAUAAAAUUCAAUUCACUCUGUUAUUUAGCACAUUUGCACAUCGCCAACCUUGAUUAUAAAAUUUAUCAAAUAAUCUGAGUUUUUUUUUUAAAAUUUUUUGCAAACAAUGUUAAAUCACUUUAUUGUAAUUUCAAAUCUAGUAAGUAAUUUUAUGGUUUAUAAUUAAUGAUAAAACUUUGUAAUUUUUCAGCUAUUUAUUAUUUUCUCUCUCCUUUUUAAAAGAGAUUAGAAAUAUUUAAUUAUAUUGAAUAAGAUAGAAAUAUUAUUCUUUUAUAGUUCGUACAGAAAUCAAUAUAAAAAUCUAACUAAAUAACUUUUAAAUUUGUAAUAAUUUUAAAUUUAUGGAGUAUUUUCAAAAGUUAAAAUUAUUACUAAUAAUUGGAUCAUUUAAAAGGGCGAUUAUGAAAAGGGCAAAAUCGGUAUUUUGAUUGUUAUUACUGUGGAUUUUAACAAAAAUGUGUUUUGAAGGGUAUUUUUGAAAAUUUUCUAUAUUUAGAGGAGCAUUUAGGAUAUUUCAAUUUUUAUAGAAAUAUUCAUAUAAAUACGUACUUUUAGAGGGGUACACAGAAAAUUAUCCCUUCAUUCAAACUCACUGAUAGUUCAAUGACCACCCUGGGUUAUUCAUAAUUCCAAGUGUGGUGAUGGAUGUGACUGAUUAAGUUGCUUUAGUAAAUAGCACACACUAGUGGCAUGGAGAAGAAUAGUAUGGCAAGUAACCUUUACACAAUAGUGUGGUACACUCAAAUUGAAUGGGGGGGCCUAUUAAUUGUUAGGAGACAGGAGGAGGUUUUUGGCGUGUGAGCUUAACUGAGCGGCUCUCCGAUGAUUUUAUUAAAGCUUUGUUUGAUUGGAGAAUAAAUUUUAGAGAAUAAUUUUUUUUUUUAUUCUCAAAAAUAAAAUGCUUUCAAAAUUCAUCCUUCCUCCUUUCCGCAAUCCUCCUCACCGCCUCCCCCUACCCUCCCCACAAUACUCGAAUCACAUGCCUCGAUCGAUCCCUGCCUAUCUCUACAACCCUGUGGUAAUGCUAUUGUUGUUGUCGUCGUCAAAGUGCGCUUCACAAACUCCUCCAGUCUUGUCCACCUCCACUGCCAACGGUUUGCCAGGGAGAGGGGGGGAAGGGGCGGGGGUUGUUUUGGUUUGUUUGUUGCAGAGUAUUUAAAGGGUGGAGUGGAAAGAAAUAGAGGUUUUUGUUGGAUGUGGCCUACAUGAUUUAUUAAAGACGAUCUAUAAAAAUACAGUCGAUCUAUUUAAAUUAAUUUAUAAAAAUACAGUAGAUCUAACGGUUAGGAUGUAUCUGAACAUGUUCUUCAUAGACAGACGUGAUUUAACAUCUCAUAUCAAGUUACAUAUAAAUGUGUAAAAUAUGGAAGUCCCAGUCUAACUCUAAUCUAAUUUUCUGUAAUGGCUCUAUCUCCGGAGAUAAAAAAAUUAAACUUGAAACUUUCCGCUCUCUUGUAGAUCGUGAACGAGGAUGAACCACGGGUAAAAAUCGCCGGCUACAAAUCAGAUACAGAAAGCAAAAUCAUUUUAGUUUCUAAUAAAAUUUCAAUAUGUGGUAUCAGAGCCACAUCUUUUGUCGAAUUUUUAUUUUUUAAAAAAUUUUAUUUAAUUUUUUUUUUAUUAGGAAAAAUAAUGAUAAUAAUAAUCAUAAAGGUUAGCAGCGAUGUCUACCGACCCCACCGAGCCGGUUUUUGGCGGGAUGGCGCAGCCGCGCGCCAGGCGACCCAUAAGGGGCCGCAUUAUUCAGCGCCCUUUGUGGUGCUGCGGGAGACAUCCCCAAGGUGGCAUAAUGCCAUUGAGGUGCUGACACGUGACAACCCAAUGGGUUGCCGUUAGAGUGCCCUAAGAAGGAGGAAUUCUACGCUGCCACACUUACACAACGUCAUCAAUAACAAGCCAAUCAUAUUUUUUUUUUUAAAUAAAAAUACAAUAAAAUAAUUUUUUUAUAAUUAUGAUGGGACAUAUAUCUCAAAGAGGAGAUAUUUGAUUGGCUUGUUGCCACGUCACCAAUAUGCCCCUCGCAUUUUAGAAUUUUUUCCUAAGGAGAGCACGCUUAGUCGGGGCAAGCGGGCAAAGACAACUAAAAAAAAAUUGUUAUUAUUAUUAUGAUUUAAGAAAAGAAUAUAUAAUAUUUAAUAUAUUAAUAAGAGACGAGAAGAGAGAGAGACGACGAAUGCAGAGAGAGAGGAAGAGAGAUUCACGCCCGGGUCCCCUUUGUUAAAAACAUCAGUGAAAACCGUCUGAAAUUUUUUUUUGAAAAGCCUGACCCAAUAUCCAAUCACAACACAGGGAAUCCACUGUUCGCUACACAGAAGUCUCCUGUAAUUUCAACGCGUCACACAAGUACAAAAAGUAACCCAGUACAACAACAACUAAAUGAACAUACAAAUAAAACAAUUAUAUAUCAUACACCAUUCACGACACCAAGGUCACAUUUAAUACUCGAUAUUUUAAACAAUAUAUCCACAUCUAUCAUAAAAUUUUCAAACCAACAGAAACAUUUUAAAACUAAAGCAAAAUCAACAAAAACCUUUUGAAAACUGUUCCUACAACUAAACCUUAUUCUUUAAAAAUCUUACACCAGGGGUAUAAAACCUUUAAUUCACGAAAAUCCAGAAAAUCCAUUUACAUCAACGAAAAAUUCAUAUUUCAAAAUUUAAUAAAAUACUGAACCUGUAAACCUAAACAAUCUACUAUAACAACGAAUACAAAGGUAUACUAAUCCGAAUUAACCUGCGGAAGCCUAUCGCCGCGUACACACUUACCUCACGUCUGCGUCCCAACUACUCAACGGCCCGCGAUACUCUGAAAAAUGUGGCGAGUAGAAACAUUAAACUUCUCCCCUCCCAUGUGUACCUUGCAAGCCGAAAAGGGAGAGUACUCACCGCAUCAAAAAACUAUAAACAACAUGUCAGUGGAAUAAACAAAGUAAUGAGCAGAUAUAAACAUCGAAAACUGAAAGGAAUGAUAAACUAUACGAAUAACACUCGCUAACCUGCUACUGUAAUAUACAGAAAGCAUACAUGAUGUCUACUAUAAUAGCAAGACAACUAACAAUUAAAACUAUAAAAGUAUGCAUCAAUGACUGCUGCUCAUAAGAAUGAUGCUCAACCGGCUCAAAGAAUCCAAAAGUACCCAAUCUAAAACCAAAAUGCAUCUCAUGGUCAGCACCUGGCAACCUCAAGCCAAUGUCCGGAGGUCCACACCGCAACACCUCCCACAGACCACUGCCAGCUCUAACAUGCAUAUAACCCUCUCUAGCGCUCAACGUUCACAAUUCAACCACUUUUCGCAGAAAAAAACAUCCUUGGGGAUCAGAACCCCAGUGUUCGUGAAUGCAACCAGUGCAGCGAUCAAUGCAAUAGCUUCAAUGACAACCGUCGCAAUCACCAGCCGACAACCUGGCCCCCCAGGGCUAUACGACCACUAUAGUCAUCAUGGUAAAACAUCACAAUAACGACACUCAGGCACUAAUGGAACAACUCACACCCUACCAAAAAUAUGAAGAUAACUCGAUCAAAUAGGUAAACACUGUAUUAUAUGCAAGAAUCGAUCAAUCAAGUCAUCCUGAUAACUAAUCUAAACUACUGCGCCAAUACCGACAAUCUACUCCCUCAGGUCCCGACCCAAAGUCAUGGCACACAAAAGUCAAGACACCGAAUAAUCACAAUUAUGGAUACUAAAUUCGACCCGCUAGUCAACAAAUCUCAUAGAGCCAGGAACCGCUCUACUAUAAACAUGACGCCAAGAUCAUGUAGACACAGGCAAAGAUAGAUAACAAAAAAUAUGUAUAACACUUCUAACUCCACUCAGGAUACUAAUCAUCAAAACAAUGAUAUAGAAGAUUAGACAUGGGCGAUGCCAAUAAGCACACUACGCAAUAGUAAUAACAGGAGAACAGGAUAAAGAUUAUCACCUGAGCGUGCACCACUGACUCUGAUCGUCGGAUCGAAGUACCUACUGUACAAUCUGUCGCCACUGUCUCCUGACGCAAAGAAGUCAACCGACCUAGAGCCACUGGUUAUGUCUAACCCUCAACUAAAAACCUAAAAAGCAUAACCACAAGCAAUCCACGGAAUCGUUUCCCAUACAGAUUACCGUACCAGUUCGAAGUCCCGAGAAUGCACCGGGACUCCGCCCGGACCCAAUAAAUAUCCCGGAAGCACCGACUACAUGCCACAGUCAUUCCCGGCAACUAACACUAAUUUUGUGUGACAUGGCAAGCAAACACAAGGAUACACCAAACAACUAUUGUGGAAUAGUUGGGUAUCCGGGUUCCCGGAAUGUCUAUUCGACAACCGAACCGGGAGUUUUUUCUUAUGGGUUCCGCGUGGUUUGGUUUUUUUCAGUAUGUUUGACCUCGCCAUAUGGCCCGUCAUGUCUGAUUCAUGAAAUCGACGCAGUGACGCACCAAUAAGCUCAGAGACUACAACAAUACUCACAAGCACCGUCGAAUAAUCCGUAACCAAAACCGCGUUUUUCGUACAGAUUUGCGACAAACCAUCGAAAUAACAUUCCGAUCUUCGCAAGGUCCUGCUUUGGACAUCAUCCAGUAAGGUCCCACAACUCAACCCAUGACUGCCACACUACAUCUACUAUAAAUCAAAUUGCAUAAAAGCCCUCCAUUACCCGAAAUCGCAUAUUCCAUGUCGCUUUCGAGCUUUUAGGCACGUCUAUCACAAACAGAGCAUGCAGCCAAACCGAACACCUACUGACAUUCUCGACUGCCCGAGCCCGGCUCACCUUCGCACAAUUUCCGACGCACAGGGAAAGCGCACAGCAUGUAACUUCAGCAAACAGCGCCACGUUAUUAUCGCGUCAAACACCAAACGUCGAACCGUUGACCCCGACGAGUGACACGAUGUCCACGAAGUAAGAUCACGUGCUCACUCCCGGAUAACGAGUGUCCUCGAUCACCAGAAAGGUGACUGGAAACCCUAAACAACUAUGCUGGAACAUAACUACCUACCUGGAGCUUGGAGACUGAGGCAAGGCGCGGUGGUUCGGUACGCGGGCGAUCUACCGGGAAGGUCGCAGGUCGCAGGUCCGGCAACGGCGGCUCGCGGAAGGCGCCAGGAGGUGCGACGCCCGAGCAUCAACUCCGCCAUGUUCCUUCUCGGUUCAAAGGCUGCGGCGGUGAUCGGCGGCCGAGACCGGUCAGCGAUGUUCGCGCCGGGCAAGAGCGUGUGCUACCAGUCGUGGCGGCGGCUGACCUUGAAUCCGAGCAGGCACGACCUCAAACCGCUACGGUCUGGCGCUGUGCGGAAGCUCGCGCGGCCGCGGGUCGGGAGCCCGGGGGCGCGCGCCACGGAGCAACGGAGGCUGAGGAAUGACGCGCUGCGGGUCUGAUUUGGCGCGCUCGCGGACCGAGAUCCCUCAUUGCUCGGUCUGGACCGCGGCUUGCCGCAAGCGAGGCGCCGCGUGCGAGCGUCGCGCCGGGCCGCGGGGAACUGCCGGGAUUCCAAAGGGUGGCUGCGCGCGGGAGCCUGCGAGUCACCUCGAUGAGCUCGGUCUCAUGCCAGCAGCAGGUCAGCCAUGGCUUGCGGCGGGCUCUGGGUGCGCGUCGCCGAGCUGGUCGCCGGGCUCCAGGGGAACGCCAAGAGGAAGCAACCUCUGGCUCUGCCCCAAAACCCGAGAUAAAGAAGAAAAGAGAGAUCAGGAGAGGAAGGUGGAGGAAAGCACACCCGCUUUUCCGGCGGCCAGGAGUCCGCACGCCGCAUGGUCGCAGCGCAGCACGGUAGGUAAAGCCUGCUGAACUACCUUAGGCAAUACUGGAAGCUAGUCGGCCGAAACAGGUAUUGUCAUAAAACCCAAGACAUAAAUACCAAUGCGCUUGCACAAAUCUUCCGACCUGGUAUUUCCAACCAUCCCUCACAGCACGAGUAAUCGCUGUACGCACCCCACGUUGAUCCAUGAUUCGGUAAUAAAAUGUCGAACUUUGCGAAAUUACCGUUUUGCAUCGCCGACCUCAUCCUCGAUCCAACGUCGAUCUUCCGAGAUCUCUCUCAGAUUUGCCGAACCGAGCACCAGGCGGUCAGCACCAAACGAACAACAAGCUUACCAUUUUGGUUCACCUCGAACGAUCAAGAUUUAGCGACGAAAUCCGCUUCUCUCAAAAGUCCAAAUGACUCAUAAAUACAUAUAAAACAUGUAUUUUUGGAUUUUCUCGAAAUCCGUGCGUCAAACUCAAAAUCCAUCAGCGCCACUAGUUCCAGAACAGCUGAACCGGUCGAAACGAGCUAUUGGACUGAUAUGAACGGAGUCCGAUACGCACCAGAAGCCAACUCUACUCCGUGGCUUCCCCGGAAAACCGGAGUUACUAUUCACUUAAGUGAAAACUAAUAAUCGCGUAACUUCUCCGUUUAAGCUCAUUUUCUCCUGAAACUUGACGAGUGCUUAUGUCAUUAAAUUACACACAUAAACAUCGUCAACAGAGAGUUUAGUUGCACAGUCAAAAAUCUUAGUCCUUACAGAGAGAGAGCGAGAGAGAGCGAGCAGGGCUGCUGUGCUCCUGAGCCGUUUUCAAUGAUGGAAUUUCCGAAUCGACGAUCGGCUCGGCUAGACUUGAUCUAGCGUAUUUGAGGUUUUUAGAAAAUAAUUUUUGCGAUUUUUCGAUAUCAUUUACCUAAUGAUCGGAAGGAUUCAAAAUCAAUAAUUUUUAAUGGUUGAUAUCUACCGUUUUCAAGUUUAACGGUGUAGAAAUAUUCAAAUCAGAUAAAAUUUUGAUACAAAAUUCUUUAUACUAUCUACAACAAGAUCAAUAUUUAUGAUCGAAAAUUUUAGUGCUAUAUCACCACUUUUUAUAGAAUUUUUAUUUUCGGCCAUUAAAAAUUAUUGAUUUUGUAUCAUUUCGAUUGUUAAGUAAAUAAUAUCGAAAAAUCACAAAAAUUAUUUUCUAGAAACUUCAAAUACGCUAGAUCAAGUUUAGCGGAGCCGAUCGUCGAUUCGGAAAUUCUAUCAUCGAAAAUGGCUCAGGAGCACGGAGGCCUCCGUGCUCCCGAAAGCACAGCAGUUCUGCUAUAUAUAUAUAUAUAUANNNNNNNNNNNNNNNNNNNNNNNNNNNNNNNNNNNNNNNNNNNNNNNNNNNNNNNNNNNNNNNNNNNNNNNNNNNNNNNNNNNNNNNNNNNNNNNNNNNNGGAUCGAGCUAGUGGCGAGACGCGGUUGGGAGGCGACGGGAUUGGAGGUUUCGGUGGCGCCCGUGUGGAAGCCGACGCGGGUUUUCGUUGCGGGCGUUUCAUAUUGGGGUAAGCUUUUGGAUUGGCUUAAUUCCUUAGCUUGUAGGUUCUCAGUGUUAGCUCUAAUGAUCGUUAUUAGCAUAUUUGUCAUUUAAUUGGAUUAUUUGGGGGUAAGGUUGCAUGUUAGGCUCAAAAUGCUAAUUUUGAAAUAUGAAGGGUUUGAUCUAUUUGACCCUCUUUAAACCUAAUUAUAGGUCACUGACCGCGUUGGAAGCGACGGUUCGGCGAUUCGUCGCUGCCGGUUGCGCAAAAGUUAUUGGAAAGAAAACGGACGGUUUUUAGAGGUUGUUUCGGGGCUGGGAGGGCCGAGGGGGGCGACGUGUAAAGAAUUCGUGGGGAGAACGGGAUUUGAAGUCGUAAUAGGAUAACCGAAGGACCUUGAUAUUUCGGGGAUGCGCGACGGAGGUCGUUCGGGUGGGGUCGGCGCGUGAAUAAGGGGGCGAGCGGGCGAGCGCGUGCGCGGUGGAGGGGAGGUCGAUUGCUGGAGUGGACGAUGAGCAAUCGGAGCGCUGUAAAAGAGGUGUGGGGGGUUGUCUAUCGAAGCGAAUCGGGAGCUUCGGGUCGAUGGUGCCGCAGUAAAAAUAGUUGAUUCGAGGUAUUUGAUAUAUUAUGGCGUUUCUUAUGCAUUUAUAGGACGUAUGUGAUAGUUAGUUUUUCUGAUUUCCUUGCAUGGCAUGGUCUAGUUGUGUAGGUAUUUAUUAGAUUGACAACUUAAAAUCUAAGAGUGCAUGAUGAUUCAAGGGUGUUGAGACAUGAGAUCCUAGUGGAUGAUAAGAGAAUAAAUGGACUCGGAGCUGGGUGGAUGCAAAAAUAGUGACAUUCGAAUAUGUAUAGUAGAAAACACUGACUGGACGAGUGGCAUUGUAAACAAUGUUAGUAACAACAUACGAGUGGCAGAUUGGAAUUAGUGUAAGGAAGAAUAAAUUUGUGGGCAUUGAGCUAUAGGGGAAUAGGGUGAGGGUUUUCCCUGGGAGUAAUGGCAGUUAUGCAGUGGAGAAUUAGUGUAUUGGGACACCUAUGGCAUCAAAACAGUAGGGAUAGUUGCAAUUCCUAUGUGAGUUGGAUAAUGUGGUUGGGACACUUGACGAUGGAACUGAGGAUAGGGGGGUGAUUUUCGACGUGGUUUUAACCUAGUUGACAGGGGGGUAAUCUCAGUUGUACGACGAGCGGGGGUAGGCUCAUUGGGUGGGAUGAGAGCGGGGGGGUCGCGGUAGCUCGGCGCCACCCAUGUGGACUGGAGUGGUCGGCGCGAGGGGGGGGGGUUGGGGGAUAGCUCGUCUCCUGUGAGCAUUGAGGGGGUAGCUCGUGUUACUAUGAGCUGGGGGGCUUCGGGGGUAGGCAUCUUUACCAUUUGGCGGGGGUUAGCUCAAUUUACCUCGACGAGCGGGUAGCGGGGGGGGUAGCUUUGACCUGUUUGAGCGGGGGGUGGGUAGCGUCUUUUACUGAUGAGGCGGGGUAGCUCCUUUAGCCUCGAGCGGGGUGAGCUCGUUUACCUGGUUGAGCGGGGGGGUACUCGCGUGUACCUAUGUAGCAGGGGGGUGGGGUAGCUCUUUACGCUACGGAGCGGGUAGGCUCUGUGACCUGACGAGCGGGGGCUAUGCUGGUUGACCUGUUGAGAGGCGCGCGGGGGUAGCUCUCUUAUAUGAGCGGGGCGGGGGUAGCUCAGUUUGACCGACUGGAGCGGGGUAGCUCUUGACUGGUAGCGGGGGGGGGGUAGCCUCUGUUACCUUGGAGCGGGGGGGGUAGUGUGACCUAUGAGCGGGGGGUAGCUCUGCCCUAUGAGUUUGGAGGUUAGAGUGGAUGGCGAGCGGAAAGAGCGGGGUAGGCUAAUCCUAGCAUUUGGUUGAUGAGUUUGGGCGGAGGAGCGGGGUAGAUCUUUUACGCUGAGUAUUGUUAGAGGUUGUGAGGGACGGGUGAGCCAAGGGCGGGGGGUAGUCUGGUCAGCCCAUGGGUGGUCGAGGUCUUAGGCGGGUGGUAGCCUAGUGCGAUUGCGGGGGGGUAAUGACGGUGAAGUGGCUAAGUCGGAUUGUGGCUUCAUGACCCUGAUUAGGACUUAUAUGUUAUGGGAUUGCAUGAAACUGUUUCGUAUUUGUUUCAUGUACAGUUCGUUGAGGCGAUAUUUAUCAGUGGAUGAGGUAGGGCUUAUUGUAUGUUAUAUUUCAUGCAAUUGCUUGCUUGAUGGCAAAGUGGAUCAUAGUUGCAGGUUUCAAUAUUCUCGUUCUAUGUCGUCGUGAUUCUAUCUCAGUCUGUGCCAGGCUUAGACUAUGUGGGAAAUCGGCGGGAGUGUCCGGCGGGCGGAGGGGCUGCGAACCCACUGGGAAACUAUAUUUAUAUAGUUGCUCACCGGUGUGGUUUUGGGGUACAGGUACAACAGCGGCCGGGGAGCGGGUACCGAGGGGGGGGGGGGACGGGGCAGCCCAGUAGAUCGCGGUGAAGGGCGUAGCACCCUAGCUAGCUAGUAGAGCGCUUCCUUUGUACUAGAGCACCUCGUAGUGCGGGUUGGUUAUAGAUGCUGAUGUAUUUUUGGAUAUGCUACGGAUCCAUAUAUAUGUGAUUAUGAUUAUGUAAUUGCAUUUUGGGGAGUGUAAGUGUAGACAAGUGUUGAUUAAAGGGUUGAGUAUGAUGUAAAUGUUGAAUGUUCAAAUGGUGGAUGUAAUAGAUAGUUAUAUCUCUCUUUAAUUUCAUCUUGUUUGUAUGACUUGUGAUGCGCUUGCUUUUGUAAUUGUUCGGCACUUGGUAAAAUGUGCCUUGCCUAUUGUUUUGUCAUGUAUUGUUAUUAAGUUGUUUUCCUGGGAACUGUUGUACAUGAUCUGUGUUUAGCCUUGGGCGGACAUGGAGGUGCUUAUCUUCGGCGUCUGUUCGACGCGCCGGAUCGAACAAAUUAUAGCGUGUCUCGGGGGACGUGACAGAGAUGACAUGAGUGUGGAUGGAAUUUAGUAAAAGUGCAUUGGCUAUGCAUAUGGAAACUUGUAAAAGAAACAUAAGACACUAUGAGUCUAGUGGUAUAUUAAACUUAUGGAUAUAUGAUGGAUGAUACCCUAGAAGGAAUAGGGUAUCUGGAGCGAGAUUGGAUCAAUGUCACGGUCUGUUUUUUUAAAUCUUUGUGAUGCGGAAGCCCGCACACAAGUAGUGCGCUCGGACAGAUAUUCACGUGGGACUUGUUCCGAUUUGGGCCAAGGGAUUGCCUAUUUUAAGGGCCCGCCCAGACGGUUUCUCGGGUGCAGUACGUGCGAGUUGAUCUCUCCUAGUGUCGAAUGGCUAGUGGAGCUGUAGGCGAGCCUUCGGGUAAGCCAUGAGAUGAUGAAUAAAUGAGGUUAGAAUGAACGAUGUGAAUAGCCUUACCUAGUUGGACAUGAUAACAGGUUAGUUGCUUACUUAUUUCAUUGUACAUGCAUUCAUAUAUUAUGAUUGGGAUAGUAGAGUAGCUUUAUCUGUAUUUACGCUUUCCUUAUCUAAUUAUCUUAUGGUUUUUUACUUGUGCCGACGUGGGACUAGUGGAGAGAUCGGCGGAGUCGGCGGUCCGAAACCACUGCGGAACUAAAGGAAAGUUAGUUUCUCACCUCCAUUUUACUUCAGCGAGCGUGCGAGUUCACACGGCGAGGAUCCGGUAAGGGGCCUAGCGCCCUUAAGUUUGCAGUAGUUUAUUCCUAUGCGGCCACUUAGAGUCACCUUUAUUGCAUUGGGAGCAGUAGAAUGAUGUGAUAGGUGUGAGCUAUUCGGGGUAAAGUAAGUAUGUUUAGAUUUGAGAUGUAGCUUUAUAUUAUUAGAAGCGUUAAUGUAUAAUCAAAUUUGUAUUAUAAAGGCUGAAUGAAGUGUAAUAGAUAGAUGUUCUCUUUUAUCUAUACUUUUUAUUGCAGAUACUGUAUCUUGCUCUCGGUAUGCUUGCACUGAUUGUGCUCUCGGUUGCAGUUAUCGAUUGUGUAUGUAUUCAAGUUAUUUUCUUGGCGACUUGUGGUACACAUCUCGUUGUUAGCUUGGGGGACAGGGAGGUGCGGUCCGUCGGCGUAUGUCGACGCGCCGGCCGAGCCAAAUGGUAGCGGUCGCGUGGGCGUGACACCCGCUCACUUUCAUUUAUUACAUUGCCCCGCGGGGGCAUGUUUUGUAUAUGGGAACGGUCCCUGGAUUGGGGACCAGUCCCGUAGGGUCCAGAAUUCAGCCUCUUAAGGAACUUGCAAUUUUCAGGCUUUUUCACGUUUUUCUCCGUUUUUUCGCUGUUUUGACCUGAUCCGAUUCUUUUCAAUCGAACCGAGGACUCUCCCAAACAUGUUCGGAGGUAGUUUUCAUCAUCUUUUAUCCCCUCUAAUGCCGGAUUGGCUCACGCCCACAUGGCCUUUCGGCUCCGUUUUAGCGCCUCUGCGUAUCCGAAAACGCUCGAUGCUUCGCGACUCCCGGGGACCUCACCGAAACGUUCAAUGGUUUCCCAACCAAAUGUACACCGUAACCUCAUAGUUUUAGAAGUCCGGUACCUUACAUCCUCCCCUCCUUAAUAAGAAUUUCGUACGCAUAGGGUUCCAAUUCAUACCUCAACUCGACGUAUCGAGCAACAUAGGGUUCCAAUGCACUUUCAUGCUCCGGAGUAGCCUUUUACUCAUUGGAAUCAUCCAAAGGCCCACGACGGAGGAUGUGAGACUAGAUUUACUCACUUUUGCUAAGCGUAGCUCCGAAAGUGCAUUACGAGUCUCUGUCAUUUUUGGUGGUAGCGCAAGUCGAAGCUCAACGACUCUACGCGCUCCAACACCAUUCACCACUACGCGUGCAAGAGCUCUUUUUUGCAUCUACUUUCGCUCUCAAGGCAUUGCGAUUCGAUCACCAACAUUGCUUAGAAGCAAUAUCAUUGGUGCAUCAACUAAUGACGAGUGCUCCAACUACACCUGGAUCUUUGCUCUAUCGCGAGAUGGCCUACCCCGGCAUAUCUCGAUUCUUAAUCCACAAGAGAGCAUUGUCUACAAUUCCGUGUGGCUAUCCGGUAUUCCAGUGUCUCCAAGUGACCACUUUUCCUUACCUCUCAAUUGCCACUUCUAACCUCAAAUCGCUCUACUACGAGAUGGCCUACCCCGGCACACCUCUCAAACCUCAAUCCAUGAAAGAGCGUUAUUUUCAAGUUCUCCAACUCUUCCAAUAUGACCCAGCCUGCCUGGGCAAUUUUUUUUUUUUUUUUAUGUGCAGAGAGACCAGUCCUCCAGAUGCGGGACCGGUCCCCGAGAGCCUUUAGCCCGAACGCACCUACGGGAAUCGGUCUGCCCUUAGAGGAUCGGUCCCCUGGAGACCGGUCCGUCCACCAGAGACCGGUCCCCGAGAGCUUGCUCUCGCAGGACUAAGCCAAUUUUCUCCUCUCGCUGGUUACGCGUACGGGGACCGGUCCCUCUGGCCCGGGGACCGGUCGCAUCACGCGACCCCGCAACCACCAGCUAUGGGGACCGGUCCUUCCCUGCCAGGGACCGGUCCUCGAGAGCAAAUCUGCCAAGUGCAGACUUUUGUACACUUGCUCUCGCGGAUCCGUUGCAAUGCACUUUUGGUGCAUUUAACUUCUUCGGCUUUUCCAAAGCACUCCCCCUCGACAAUUGGUCGAUUUUGAGCGAAGUCCAACUCUCGUAUUUCGAGAAUUCACUUCCUUACACCAACCCUCACGUGGCUAUUUCUUAUUCAAGUGUCUCCUAGAGAACACUUUACCUUUCUCUUUAUUCUUUACUACCACAAGCCACGUUCAACAUCACAUGAACCCUCCGUUCGUGAAUCCAAGCCCAACUCACUAACAGAGUUGCUGGCCGCACCGAUCAUCGGUUUUCACAGGCGGACCAACAGUCACAAAUACUACAUAGGCCUAGCGCCUAAACCUGUCGCAACUACGCAUAGCGUCUCUCGCUCGGAUCGUAGACCCAAUCAUCAUUGGGCGAAAUUCUCAUUAGAAAAUUCGCACGCACUCCGAACAGGAGCAACCAUGACUCCAAACCACGUCAAGUCCUCGAGUUGGGUCAUAAUCAAACUCUGGGUAUCUCAUCGAUCUCGGGAUCCAAUACGUGGCAUUCCACACUCCCGGGUCUGAGCUCGGACUACCGUCCUGGCCAAAACUGUAAGAAAGUGAAUUCUCAAAAUACGAGAAUUGUACUUCAUCCAGGAUCGACUAAUUGUCGAAAGUAUACCCUUUGUGGGAGUUGAGAAUGUCCCAAACACAAAAAGUGCUUUGGAGUUGAGUCCGCGAGAGCAAACGAUGCAAACUGCAUCGUUGGGCUAAGAUUACUCUCGGGGACCGGUCUCUGGAGGUGAGAGACCGGUUCCCCUGGCUGGGUGUAGCGGGGUUGCGUGAUGCAACCGGUCCCUGGCAGGGAGGGACCGGUUCCCGAACGUGGUCCCAGCGAGAAGUGCCAAAAUUGGCUAAGUCCUGAAAAUCGAGCUCUCGGGGACCGGUCUCUCAGGCGAAGACCGGUCUCCCGAGGACCGGUCUCCCGGGGAGAGACCGGUUCCCGAACGCGUGCGCCCGAGGGAAGCUCUCGGGGACCGGUCCCAAGUCGGGGAGACCGGUCCCUCCGCGCGAAAACUGCCCAGUGAGGGCAGUGCACAGGAGUGAAAGUUGAGGGGCUUUUAUGCAAAAUGGCUUUUAUUUGAGUGGGCUGAGCCCUCUCUCUCCCUCACACUCUCUCAUUUCACUCUCUCUCACUCUCAUUUCUCUCUUGCUCUCUCUCUCUCUAGAAAGGAAAGAAGGAGAAGAAGAACAAGAAGGAGAGGAAGGAAAAGAAGAGGAAGAUAAGGAAGGAGAAGAAGAAGGAGAUCAAGAGGAAGGCUUUGAGCACCUCCAUCUCCCUCUCCUCUUCCCAUUGGUGUAGCUCUUGAGGUAAGCUACUAAACCCUAGCUUCUAGAACUUAGGGUUUUUGGGUUUUAUGCCUUGGAAUGGGUCAAAUGGACCCUAAGCAAGCUUCUAAAUAGAUCAAUCCCAAGAAUCUAGGGAUUUAUGGGGUGGUUUGCUAUAGGUGCAAAUCUAGGGUUCCAAAAUGGGGUUUUUGUAAAAGUAUGAGAUUGAUCUCAUUUGAAGCCUUGGAAACCCUAUUGAUAGGUCCCAAAACGCGGGGGCGAAGUCGAUUUUGGCAUUCGGCGAACCGACGUGAAGUUCUCGGCAAAAUCGGGCCGGGCUAGUGUUGAUUCGGGCGAGGAAGGCUAAAGCCUUUUCGUAGAGCUCGCCGAGAAGGAUUUUCCAAGCCUCUACAUCGAUUAAAGGUGGGGGGUGUCAUCCGAAACUUUCGAACUCCUUUCUAUGUCUUAGAUUGCAUUUAAUCUCAUCUCUUCAUGUUGCAUUGUAGGAUUGCAUAGUAGCUCCAUUCCUUAUGCUUUCUAAUUGAUAACCUAGUGUACUUGGAACGCUUGGUAACUUAGAUAGGUGAGGAUUGGGUCGAGACGUGAAUCCUAUGGUGCGAAAGAAAAGAGAUGAACCCGAUGGGGGUAUUGAUGACAUAGAAAGUAGUGUUAUUGUUAAAGAACAAACGAGUGGCAUCCAAACAUUGAAUGAUAACGAGUGGCAUUAAUGUAGUGUAAAUAACACUAGAGGUCGAUGGACCUAGGGAUAGGUGGAUCCCUUAGAAAAUGCCUUGUGAACAAUGAAUUUAGAAAACUAAAUAGCAUUGCAUGAAUGUCGGGAACCGAUGAUUCCGCGAUAGUCGUUGACCCUAGUGUAGGGCGUCCUCACUUGGAGAGGAUUCGAUUGGGUUAUUGACUCUAGUUGUAGAGCCUCCUCACUUGGAGAGGAUUGGAUUGGGUGUUGACCCUAGUUACAGUGUAUCCUCACAUGGAGAGGAUAGAUCUAGCUCACAGUCUGCGUUUAGGGUGGCAUAGCCAUCCAAUCCCCACAUGGAGGGGAUUGUCGUCGAGUACUCCGGAGUGUCGCGCGACUAGGACCACUUGGAGGUCCGGACCACAUGGAGGUCCGCAGACGGUCCCGGGUUUGGGUGCACUUGGAGCCCCCUCCCCACUUUGGUAUUGAAAGGUGAGUCAUGGGCGAGCCCUAGGGCCUCGCCACAAAUUGGGUAAAUGGAAAGGUUAUUAAUGUCAUUGAACAUUGCUAUUCGAACAUGGAUCGAAUUUGUUAGCAUGGUAGCAAACCUUUAUUAUAUGAUGCAUGCAUUCAUAUUUAUGAUUAUGGGCAUAGUAGCAUAGUUUUCCUACGACCGCAUUACAGCUUUCAGAUACAUAUCUAUCUAUCUAUCUAUCUAUCUAUCCGUUGUUACUUGUGCCCACUUGGACCUAGUGGGGAGAUCGGCAGAGUCGGCGGCCGAGCCCACUGGGAACUAUGGAAGAUAGUUCUCACCCCACUCUAUUUCCAGUGGUAGGUUCAGGGCUGCAGAGAGAGGACCGCGGCAAGGGCGUCGCGCCCGACCAGUGAGACCGUGGUAGUAUAGUAGCUUUCCCUUUUGCAUUAGUCACCUAUGUAUAAAGAGAGAUUUAUUGUAGGUGAGGAUUUGGAGAGCUAUAUAUUUUGGAUGAAAAAUGAUGUAAAGAAUGCAACUAUUGUAAUAGUUAGUAAAGUACUCUCUUUAUUUCACUCGUAUAUCUUGUGGAUUACCUGCUCUUCUUGUUGUUGGCACUGUUUGUGCCCUCGUUGAAUGUGUAUGUUUAGAAUUUAAAGUCCUGGGUAAAUUCUUGUACACAUUCCUGUCGUUGAGCCUUGGGCGGACAAGGGAGGUGCUGUCCGUUCGGCGGUCCAUCGCCGCGGCCGAAUCGUGCCAAAUUGGUAGUGGUUUCCGGGCGGGGCGUGACAAAAACCCUGCCCUACCCGUAGGCACCGGGCCGCUAUCACUCACAGCUAACUGCGCCUGCCCAAAGGGCCCAAGCUCCACAAAUGGUCCAGGCACGGAUCGUCCCCAAGUGAUACCCACCGUCGUCGUCCUACACGACAUACUCUAUCGAGCUAUAAGUACCAUUAUCGGCUCCUAAGCACCUAGUGCGAGCCGCCAGCCUUACGAGUUCCAUGGCUCGCUUCACACUUAGCAAUGCUGAAGUGCUACUGCCAUCACACUCUCUCGGCUGAAUCAAAUCCGCACUCUACCAGUGUCUACACUCGAGCGCUCUAUACGCCAUACUCUAAGUCCAGCAUUAGGCAACCUUGCCUAUGCACACCGGCCACACGGGCACGAUUCGCCCACCUCAAUUCGAGGCACUACUAGGCCCACGUGCCUAUACUUGGCCAAUAACUGAUCGCUCUACCACGAGUCUCACUUUUCGUCCAACAAUCAUCACCAACAUUUUGCUAGUGCUAUCUAGCUCUCUACCUGCUCCAGCAGGCGCCACACUCUCACCACAUAAGUAUGCUCGGGUAUCUACACCAACCCGUUCACUUGGUCCCUACUAUACCAAUGCACAAAUAGUAGCGAACGACUACAAGGUAAAUGCAUGCAAGUUCCUAAGUCUACAUCAUGCAGAAGCGUAUGAUUGCUUUAAUUAACUCAUACCUGGCACAAUGUCACGCUCCUCGACCCCAGCAGGUCGCUCCACUUGAGCGGCAAACACUCGACUACUCGGAGCCGACCGGGUCACCUCAAGCUGAUGCGGCGCCAUCGCACGUCUCGUGGAUACGGCAGCAGGCGGAACUCCACCAAACUGCCUCGGAGCCGCCGGGGCGGAUGCUGCAGUCGGGGCAGGCGACAAUCCCUUUGGGCACUGACGGCUAAUAUGCCCCGCCUGACCACACCUGAAGCACCGUCCAGCCUUAUGCUCACAGUUUCCUGCGCGAUGCUCCCCACCGCAGAUCACACAUCGCAGGGGUCCCUGGCUCUCGAACUGCCUACUCGGGUACUUCGGGGGCUUCUUGGAACUCGACUGUGCCCCCGAGCUACCGCCAGGUCGUUUCUUUCUCUUGUCCUUCUCGGACGCCUCGCGCUCCUCUCGCACGUGGGCAUCACCAUGCUCUGCCCACAGCGCCUUAUUGAAAACCUCGGCAAAAGUCGUGAGCUGGAAUAAUUGCACUGCCCGAUAUAUCCAUGGCCGAAGUCCCUGCAAGAACCAUUCGGCCCUGUCCCCGUCAUCCUUGACCACGUUUGGGACACAGUCUAUGAUAUGGGAGAGCUCCUGCUCGUAGUCCGCUACGGAACGAUCCCCCUGUCUCAGUUUGCGGAACUUCUCCUUUAACUUCCGCUUCUCGGUGUCGGGGAAGUAAUUUCCAAAUAUUUCCCUCUUGAACUCCUCCCAUAACAUAGGUAGAAGGUCAGAAGGCCGAUCUCGCUUCACCCGCUUCGACCACACCUUCGCCGCUUUCCCAAGGCAAUGGGUGGCGAGAUACACCUUGUCUUUCUCCGAGGUAUAGAGAUCCUCAAAAAGUGUCUCCAUUGAGUCAAUCCAUGACUCCACCAUCGACGGCUCCACUUUCUCCCCUUCAAAGAUUGGUGGGUCGAACUUCUUGAAUCUGAUAAGAGCCGUCAACGAACGCUCUCGCUCUAUCUCCUCGGCCACCGCAUCGGGUAUUGCCGGACCCGAAGCCGCCGGAGGAACACUUGCUGGCGGGGGAUGCGCCGCCGCCGGAGCUGCCGCAAUGCCCACACCCUCAGCCGCAUUAGGCGCGCGAGCCGAGGGCACGGGGGGACCACGGCCUUCAACUGUCGUCGCGGCCGCCGCCGCCACCUGCUGCUCCAAAAGUUCCUGGAGCCGCUCGACCUGGCUGGUUAGAGCGGUAACUUGCGCUCGUAACUCCUGCACCUCACUAGACCCAGCUUGCUCUGGCAGCUCAGGAGGCGGUGCCGGAACGGGUCUACGUGCGUAGCGUCUCGGGGACAUCAGCUCCUGAAACGCAAACAUUUGGUUAAUCAUCUUAACCCGCUAACUUCGCCACAAUUGCGAAACAACGCGACUCAAUAGCACAAAUCAGGCGGAAGCACACAAGUGUACUUGUUCUAAACCCUUAGCGUUGUGUUGUCGGCCGCCCAACACAACCACUUCAAGCCAAGAACUCAUACCACUUGAAUCCAUCUCUAACACCCAUUAGAGACAUACUAUCAAAUUCAACCCAAUCGAUCAACUUCCGCCACCCACAUAGGUUCACGUCUCACUCACGCGCCUAUAGCCCUAAGGUUUACCAUCCUAGGGUCUCCUAGGUCCAUUCUAGACUCUCUCUUUGCUUGCUCUUAACUCGCUCUGAUACCAUUUUAUCUGUCACGCCCCGAGACCGCUACCAAUUUGGUCCGAUCCGGGCGCGUCGAACAGACGCCGGACGGACAGCACCUCCUUUGUCCACCCAAGGCUAAACAACAGGAUCAUGUACAACAAGUUCCCAGGAAAUCAACUUGAAUACAUACAUGAUCAAAACAAUAGCGAGGGCACAACCAGUGUCGAACAUUACAAGAGCAAGCAUCACAAGUAUAAACAAGUGAAUAAAAGAGAGAUAUAACUAUCUAUUACAUCACAUUUGACAUUCAACAUUUAAUACAACUUGGUUACAUUUAAGCUUCCAAAAUGAAUACAUAAUCAUAUCACAUAUAUAUAAUGCUAGCUAUCCAAAAUACAUCAUGUCAUCUAUAACCAUGCACACGAGGGUGCUCUAGUACAAUAGGAAAGCUCUACUAGCUAGCUAGGGCGCUACGCCCUUACCGCGAUCACCUGCCGGUCCGCUCACGUGUGUACCUGUACCCCAAAACCACACGGGGUGAGAACUAUAAAAAUAUAGUUCCCAGUGGGUUCGGCCGCCGACUCCGCCGAUCUUCCCACUAGGUCUAAGCUGGCACAGAUAGAUAGAUAGAUAGAUAGAUAGAUAGAUAGAUAUUGAACUGCAACUAUGAUCUAUUGUGCCAUCAAAUGCAAGCAAUGCAUGAAGUGUCAACUAGCAAUAAGCCUACUAUCAUGAUAAUAUGCUUCAACGAUGUAAUGAAUACAAAUACGACACAGUUAUGCAAUCCACUAACAUACGCUAUGUCUAAUCAGGGUAUGAAUGCAAAUCUACUUAUGCUAUUCAUGUCAUUUCCCAAUCCACUAGGCUACCCCGCCUAAGAUAUCAAAUCUCAUAGGUACUCACACCACAAUCUAGUAGGUGAAGAGGUGAAGAGCUACCCCGCUCUUCGCCCUGACUGAUUAUCUCAAAUCUCAUAGGUGAGGAGCUACCCUGCUCUUAUCUCACCCGUCUCACAUCUCAAAGGUCAUAGAUGAAGAGCUACCCAACUCUAAUCUCAUAGAUAUUGAGCUGCCCCGCUCAAUCUCAUAGGGGAAAGGCUACCCCGCCCUUCGCCCCAACUCACGUCCCAGUCCAAUGGGUGAGGAGCUACCCCGCUCGUAUCCCACCCGAUGAGCUACCCCGCUCGUGAGCUAUCCCGCUCGUGUGACAACUCUGGCAAUGGGUGAGGAGCUACCCCGCUCGUAUCCUACCCGGUGAGCUACCUUGCUCGUGAGCUACCCCGCUCGUGUGACAACUCCGGAGUGCACUGCUUGUGGGGAGCGACCGCCACAAGCCCAAAACAGACUAUGUGAGUAUGAUCCAAUCCUCGCCAACUGAGGAUACCCUGUCAACUAGGUUAACCAUCACUUGAUAAUCCACCUAUCCCUAGGUCCAUGUCAAGUGUCUCAACCACACUAAAUCUCGAUGUCACUUACCUAGGUCUAAUCAACUCUAGGUUCCACAACACUAGGUUUAAUGUCAACCUAUGUUUAACAACAUUAUGUUAAUGCCACUCGAUCUAUCCUAGGUUCACGACACUAGGUUUAGAUGCCACAUGCCUCAUAAUCUCCAAACUUUAACAAUAGGUUAACAUUCAUUUUCAUCUAGCAUAUAUGUCCUAUAAAGCCAACAUGCAUCAUACAUCUAGUAUACAUCUUCAUAAUGCUAAUAUGCCAUUAUCAACUAGCAUGCAAUCCAUUCAUAAUGCUACAUGCAUACAAUUUCCAUUACACUAGUUCACAUGUCACUAGUUUCAUUAUCAAGUCCAAGUUCUUUAUUUUCUUUUCAUUAUAGGAUCUCAUGUCUAAACCUUAGUCCUCAUGCAUUCUAGAUUUAGGUGUCAAGUACAUAAUACUACACAACUAGACAUGCAUUCAAGGAAAGUAGAAAUAUAAUAAUACAUACAUCCUAUAGUGCGUAAGAAACAUAUGUGCAAUAUGGCCAAAGAUCUAACUCGGACAUAGAAGGAAGCCCGAUUGCUUCGGAUAGACACCCCCCACCUUUAGGUGAUGCCACGAGCCCACGAUUCCGAUUUCGCGAUUUUAGGAAGCUUUCGCCGCGAGCUGCGGCAAUCUGUACCUCAACAAGCCUUUUCUUCAAUAUCUUUGCACCCGCUCGACGAAUCGACGAACCGACUUCGCCAACGCGUCGGAAUACCUAGCAAUUAGGUUUACAGAGGGUCAAAUGAGAUCAAACUCCUAUAUUUACAAAAAUCCCAUUUUGGAGCCCUAGGUUCCAACUAAGUAAAAAUCCACCAUUUGAACUCUAGAUUCAAGCAUUAAACAUCUAUUAAGCUUGCUAGAAUUGCAUCUAAACCAUCCUUAGGGUGCAUAAACCAAACCCUAAGAAGUUACCAUUAGAGCCCUAGAAGCUUACCUCUCUAGGUUUGCUCCAAGGUUGAGAGGAAGAAGAAGAUGAUGAUGGUGGUGGUGAUUCUCUUCUCCUCCUUCUUCCUUCUCUUUCCUUUCUUCUCUUCUUUUCCCUUUCUUCUUUUUUCUCCUCUUCUUCUUCUUCACGUUAAGAGAGAGAGAGAGGUGGUGUUGGAGUGAGGGAAAUGAGAGAAAGAGAGAAAGAACCCUCUCUAUACACUCUCAUAAUGCCCAAAAUGCAAUUAGGCCUUCAAAUAAAAUUAUUACAUUGCCCCCGCGGGCCAUUUUGUAUAGGGGACCGGUCCGUGGACUUUGGGUGACCGUCUCGCGAGGUCUCAGAUUCCAGCCUUUAAGGACUUUAGCCAAAUUUUCAGCUUUUCACCGUUUCUUCUCCGUUUUCGGCGAUUCGUUUGACCUCUGAUUCUUUAAAUCGGAACCGGACUCUCCAAACAUGUUUUCGGAGCGUACUUUUCCAUUUAUCUCUUCAUAUUCGCUAUGCGGGGAUUUGCCAUACAGCCCACAAUGCCUUUCUGGUCUCCGUUUUUAGUGCCUACGCGUACUAAAACGUCCCGAAUGCUUCUGACCCACCGGGACUCACACCGAAAUCGUCAAAUGUCUUCGCAACCAAAUGUAGCACGUGAACCAUCAAUAGUUUUGAAGUUCGGUACGUUACAUAUAUAGAGUAGGGUCUUUAUGUGCUAUAGAGGCAUGAGGCCUCCGUUCCUAAUAGCACAGAAGAACCUACUAUAUAUAUAUAUAUAUAAUAUACAUUAUAUAUAUGGUAUAUAUAUAUAUAUAUUAAUAUAUAUUAUAUAUACUAUAUAUAUAUAUAUCACGCCCCGACCGCUACCAUUUGUCGAUUCGGAGCGCUUCGAACAUGACCCGAACGACAAGCACUCUCCUGUCCGCGCAGUCCAAAAACACAGAUCUAUCGUACAGAUUAAGCGCCCAGCGGAAUGCUAAUUACAGUACAUGAUCGAUACGAUACCACAAGUGCAGCAAUAGCUAAGGCAAGAAAACCACGAGUGAAAUACAAGGUGUAUAAAGGCAGUAAUCUAGCUAAUUCAACCAUUCAACAUUUACAUCAUUUGAAUAUAUUACAUUUCUAUCUUCCACAUGUAAGUUACAUGUCUCAAAAAUACAUCAUGGCUUCCCAUAUCCUAUCCAAAAACAGCUAGACACGAGGGUACUCUAAUGCAUAAGGAAGCUAUAACGGUGCGUAUAUCUAGCUCACUGUAGGGUGCUAUGCCUUGCGGAUCCUCGCCCGCUCGCCUCUGUGUGUAACCUGUACCCCAAAUACCAAACGGGGUGAGAAAUUAUAUAAAUAUAGUUUCCCAGUGGUUCGGCGCAGACGAGAGCCGCGGUUUUCCCACUAGUCUAAGCGGCACAGAUAGAGCGAAAUAGUAUAGAUUAUAUAGAACCGAACUGCAAGUAAUCUUAUCAUUGGCCAUCAAUGAUAAUUAAUUGUAUGCAACAACUACUAUCCAUGCUAGUAGCAUGUCAUCCGAGUAUAAUAAAGUGCAUAGCAUGUAAUCUACAACAUACCUAUGUCUAACUCAAAGGUAAUAAUGCUAAGUUACCUAUGCAUGUUCAUGUUUAUACCAUCUACUUGGUUGACCAGCCGAUAGGUUAACCCUCGCUGGACACUCUCAAUCUAAUAGGUGAGGAGAAGCUCGCGCUCGCACACCGAGACCAGUCUGCGGGACACUACAUUCUGCCGCUAGUGAGUACUUCCGAGACUCGUGCUUCGAUGGAGCGACCACCGACAGCAAAAGCAGACUAGUGAGUAUAUCAAUCCUCUCAAGAGGAUACGCUGUUACUAGGGUCAAUGUGCCUCUGCUGCAAACAGUCAUGAUAUAUAAAUCAAUGUGGGACUCUACUUAUCCCUAGGUUUCAUGUCAGUUUACUACACUAGACUCAAAUCAAGCGUUCGAUCAUUGUAGUAAGUUUCUACUAGUUGACCAUGUCCACCGUUCAAGGUUUGUGUCUCUACUACACUAUUCAAUACCACUCUACAGCUGAUGUCCAAGUUCGGCUUCUUAUCCGGUAUAGGAUUCUAUCCAUAAGACCCAAUCCCUCAUGCUACGUAAUCCUAGGUGUUCAAAUCGAUAAGUAAACUACUUAAGAAGCAUGCAAGAAAUAAGGCAAUAUACAUUUAUUAAUCCUAGUAAUGCAAUUGAUGAUCAACAAUAUGUAUUAGACUAAAAAGAAACGUCCGAUGUUCCCGGACGACACCCACCCCCCACCUCAUUGAGGGUAUGAAGGCUCUAGAAAUGUGGGCCUCCGUCUUUACGACGAAGCCCUCGGUCUCUUGUCCAAAGCGAUGCUCACCGGUCCUUAUUUGCCGAUGCUCUUGACUCGCUCGACGAAUCGAAUUUCCGACUUCGCCCACCGCGGUUUCGUUACCCCUCAAUUAGGUUAAAGGCUCAAAUGAGAUCAAUCCAUACUUUACCGAACCGUGCUCGUUCUAUUGUUGGUGCCGCUAGGGUUAGCAUGGAUCAAAAGCUAAACCAUCUCAAAAGCCUAGAUUCUAGCUCUAUUCCUUCCAUUUCAUGGUGUUAGGGAUCCAUCAUUGAUCGCAUCCAAAGAGCAAACCCAAAAAACGCCCAAUCUCGCAAGCUAGGGUUAUAAGCUUUACCUCUAGGUUAGCUGUAAAAGAAGAGAAAAGGAUGUGAGGGAGACGUCUCAAGCUUCCUUUUGAUUGAUCUUACCUCUUCUUCUUCUCCUUCAUUUUCUUCCUUCUUUUCCUUCUCGCUUUCUUCUCUUCUCUUUCUACCUUCUCUUUAUCUUCUAAGAGAAGAGAAAGAGGCAAGAGAGAGUGUGAGGGAGAGAGGGAAAUGAGAGCUGAGGGAGAGAGAGGGGUCCCCAUGCCUCAUAUUGUACCAAUAUCCCAAUAUGCCGCCUCACCGUUUACUUUGUGCACUGCCCUUACGUGGGCGUUCUCUGCGCGCGAGGACGGUCUCCCCCGACUUGGGACCGGCCCCGAGAUGCUUCAGCUCGGUCACUGCGUUCGGGUACCGGUCUUUCCCAGAGAGACGGCUCCUCGGAGACGGUUCCCUCCCUAAGAGCCGGUUCCCCGAAAUUGAAUCUCAGGACUUAGCCGCAAUUUUUUGGCUUUCCUCAGUAAAGGAUCGCGUUCGAAGGAAAACGUUCCCCUCCAGGGACCCGGUUGCUCCACAACCCAGCGACAUCAGCUGAUGAGACGGAUUCCUCCUGCCAGGGACCGUCCGGAGAGCCAAUUUGCUCCAGUGCACAGUUUUGGCAAACGUUUAUUGCUUCUCAUGGACUCAUUCCAAUACGACCUUUGGUGAUUUACAUCUUUUGCUUUUCAAAGCUUACCGAACCCCGACCCUUGGUGAUUUCUAACAUGAAGUCAACUCUCGAUUUCGAGAAUUCAUUCCUCACAAUAUAUAUUAUAUAUAUAUUAUAUAUAGUAUAUAUAUAUAUAUAUAUAUAUAGUAAGGCUUAUGUGCUAAUUAGGAGCAUGAGCCUCUGUGCUCCUAAGCCGUUCGAUCAUGGAGCUUGCUGAAUCCGACCGAUCGCUCCGUUAGACUUGAUAUAGCGUAUUUGAAAUCUCUAGAAAAUAAAUUUUCUGAUUUUUCGAUAUCAUUUACCUAGCAGUCGAAAGGGUUCAAAAUCAAUGGUUAAAAAUAAAAAUCUCAAAAAAAAUGGUGAUAUAGCACUAAAAUUUUCGAUCAGAGAUAUUGAUCUUGCUAUAAAUAGCAUAAAAAAUUUCUAUCAAAAUUUUAUCUGAUUUGAAUACUUCUACACCGUUAAACUUGCAAAUGGUAUACAUCAACUAUUAAAAAUUGUUGAUUUUGUACCCUUUUGAUCGUUAGGUAAAUGAUAUCGAAAAAUCGCAAAAUUUAUUUUCUAGAUAUUUCAAAUACGCUAGAUCAAGUCUAACGGAGCCGAUCGUUGAUACGGAAGCUCCAUGAUUGAAACGGCUUAGGAGCAUAGAGGGCUCCGUGCUCCUAAUAGCACACAAAACCAACUAUAUAUAUAUAUAUAUAUUAAACGGGCCGUUUUACUACCGAUUUGUUUUCGAUGAUAGAGCUUCCAAAUUGACAAUCGGCUCCAUUAAAUAUGAUCUAAACCAUUUAAACUACCUAGAAAUCAAAUUUCACGCACUUUCGAUAUUGUUCUUUUAUCCAUCAAGUGAAUAGAAAAAUGAAUGGCUGAAAAUGAAUACUCUUUAAAAAAUGAUGAUAGGAGUCUUGUAAUCAAGAUCAAGAGUAUAGAUCUUGUUAUAAAUAGUUUAAAGAAUUUUCUAACAAAAAUUCAAUUGAUUUGGAUAUCUUUACGCCGUUAAGCGAGAAAACGCCUCUUAUCGACCAUUAAAAUUACAAAUUUUGAAACCCUUUGAUCAUUAGGCAAAUGAUAUUGAAAAGAUUUGAAAUUUGAUUUCUAAACACUUCAAAUGGUAUAGAUCAUGUUCAUAUAUAUAUAUAUAUAUAUAUAUAUCUCAAAACAAUCUUAUGAUAGCCAUCAUUUGCCCGGCAAAAUGAUGGCUAAACAAAAGCUACUAUCUCGAAGGUUUAACUGCUAGCCGAGGCAANNNNNNNNNNNNNNNNNNNNNNNNNNNNNNNNNNNNNNNNNNNNNNNNNNNNNNNNNNNNNNNNNNNNNNNNNNNNNNNNNNNNNNNNNNNNNNNNNNNNNNNNNNNNNNNNNNNNNNNNNNNNNNNNNNNNNNNNNNNNNNNNNNNNNNNNNNNNNNNNNNNNNNNNNNNNNNNNNNNNNNNNNNNNNNNNNNNNNNNNNNNNNNNNNNNNNNNNNNNNNNNNNNNNNNNNNNNNNNNNNNNNNNNNNNNNNNNNNNNNNNNNNNNNNNNNNNNNNNNNNNNNNNNNNNNNNNNNNNNNNNNNNNNNNNNNNNNNNNNNNNNNNNNNNNNNNNNNNNNNNNNNNNNNNNNNNNNNNNNNNNNNNNNNNNNNNNNNNNNNNNNNNNNNNNNNNNNNNNNNNNNNNNNNNNNNNNNNNNNNNNNNNNNNNNNNNNNNNNNNNNNNNNNNNNNNNNACACCUCGUUUAAAAGCGGUGUUUUUCAUGUAUAAAACACUCUAUAGCUUAAAGCUGCUAUAACCGAUUGAAACCGGUUUACCUGGUUUCACCCGCUAACUUGCCAACCCUGUUCAAGGUAAGCCAUAAGGUUGUUCAAACCUUCUCAUUUUUACUAAAGGUUUCCACAACCUUACCAAAACUGUAGCUAGCCGCGCUUCAUCUCGGCUUUGCUUCACUUUUGUCGUAAGACCUCGAGAGCCCAAACUCCGACGGUCCGGAACAUGGCCUUGUUCCCCCGAACAUGCCCAUGUUCGUGACGCGUUGGCUCUUUGGCUCGAGAGCCAAAACCCCCGACGGUCCGGAGCAUGGCCUUGUUCCCCCGAACAUGGCCAUGUUCGUGACGCGUUGGCUCUUUGGCUCGGAGCCCAACCCGACAGACGGUCCGGAACAUGGCCAUGUUCUUAGACACAUGGCCAUGUUCCCUGGGCUUUUACACCUAAACCAACCUUUUAAUCAAAAAACUCCCCUGAAAACCCAAAACAAUGUUAUCUCUUGAAUUUGGGGAGAGAGAGUCGGAGAGUGGGAGAGUGAGAGGAGUCGAGUGAGAGAGAGAUGUGAGAGAAAGAACAGUAUUCUUGUAGUGAUAGUUUGAAUAAGCUAAAAAGUAUAAUUAAUAUUCUUUUAAAUAACAUCAAGCAGAAAAUUAGAAAUGACAUCUUCUCUGCAUCAUUGAUCCAAUAGCCAUCUUCUGUGCAUCAUUGAUGUCAAUAUUCUCGCUGCAUUAUGUAUCUUGAUGUUAAAGAAGGCUGCAGUAAAUGCCAAGAAAAUCAUAAAUUAUUUGGACUUAUAAAAAUUUGUAUGAAAAUUGUUAUUGCUAAAUAAUUUUUACGUGCCUCCUUUUGAUCUCCUCAAGUUCAGCAAUUUGUGGAUUGAUAAGUAUCUUCGUUGCGAAACUUGUUGACAAACAAACCCCUGAAAAAAAAAUAUUGAGUUAUAAUCAAAUAAUAAAUAUAUUAUAAUGUAUUAUUUAAAUAUAUAUAGAAAUGUACCUUUACGGAAAUCUACGUGCAGUGCAGUUGCAACUAUUAUAAGUUUUUUUUGUACUGCAUCUUUCCACAUGCCUAUUCGGGUUGUGACAAGACUAUCCCACAAUGUUAAUCUAACGAACCAACGGCUGCAUAAUUAAAUAAAAAUAAAAUAUUUUUUAGUAAAUAAUAUUUUGAAAUAUAAUACUUUUUUUUUCUCAAAUAUCUUCUAAAAAGUUAAAGAAUAACAUACGAUUUAUUCAUAAUUAUAAUCUCUCUUUUUGGACGAUUGCCAUCGCGUCCUUUUAUAAACUCUGCCUUCUCCACAUGAACUAUCAUUCCUGCAACAUCUAUGACAAAAAAGAAAUUAUUAUUUCAAAUUAAGAUUUUUUAUUAAAAAUACUAAAUAAGAAUAGUGAAUAACAUACCAAUCAGAACUUUAUUGUUGAUGAGUUUACCCAAUUUCUCCAAAGCAACAAAUGAGUAUGCAUAAUUUGGAAAUUUUGCGAAACCUUCUGUAACUUCCUCAACUUUUGUAGCACUUGUGAUUACACAUUCGUAGUCAUUUGCUGUAAUUUUUAGUCCCGCAGUUGUAAGACGUACUCUUAUAUUAAAAAAUGUGUAGAUUUUACCCUCAAAAAUAAUUUUGUCAAGUCUUCCAACGUCAUUCCCGUAUACAAAUCCCUGAAUUUUAUAUCCCUAUAAUGAAAAUAAGAAAUAUAACAAUUAGAAUAUAUGGUUAACAUAUAAUUAAAGAUUAAUAUGAAAUUACGUACAUUUUCAUCAAGAAGUAAAAGUUGAAGCCGUUGUCUUUUUGUUCCAGGAUAUUCGAUAUCACACUUUAAAAGUAGCCUUACUCUUAUGUUGAACUGAUGCCGAUAAGGAUGUAGAAAAUGGAUUGGUGUGUAGUAAACAAUACUCAUCCUGUAAAAAACAAAAAAACAAUAAAAGUAAAAUUAAAAUUUAUAUAAUUAUAUGAAUAUAUGAGCAACAAAAUUUAAUAAUUAAGGUAUUCAAUUCAUUUAAGUGCAAUAAUUACCUUGAUUGGAUGCAAGAACCUCUUUAAAAACAAUAUUUUUUGUAUAGACUCCUUCGUGAUCCAUUUUUUCAUGUGGUUUUACUAAAAUUUUUGUAGUACUGCGCGAUAUCCCUCUAGAUAAAGCUACAUACAACUGACCGUGUGAAAACACUGGUUCCGGAAGAUAUACUCCGACAUUUGGAAUUGUUUGUCCUUGUGCUUUAUUUAUUGUCAUAGCAAAGCUCAAACGUACUGGAAAUUGUUUUCUUUUAAAUCUAAAAGGAAGAUUGUCAUCUUCUGAAGGACAUAAUGGAAUUCUUGGUAAAAAGACCCUUUUUCCACUGUGUUGCCCAUAAGCGAUCUCAGCAUCAAUUGCAUUUUUUUGGAACGCCUUACAAAUCAAUCUUGUUCCAUUACAUAAACCAUUUAUCGGAUCGAUGUUUCGCAAAAGGAUAAUAGGACAAUUAAUUUUAAGUGUAAGCUUAUGAGGUGGUAAACCACUUGGCAUCAGUGAAUUCAAAAAUUCUGUCGGAUAGUGAUUGUGAGUAUCGUCGUCAGCAACAUCAUAACUGUAAUAAACAAAUUCCGAUCCAGGAAAAUUCCGUAUUAAUUCAUUGUUUAUAUCAUCGACGUAUUCAUUCUUAGUUGAAAGUAUAGCUCGGCUUAUAAUAUAAGAAGAUAAAUUGGCAUUUUCUUUAAGAGAUGGGAAUACUGUGUCGAUUAACUCCUUUUUUGAACGCUCAUUAUCCGUAUACUUGAUCACCAUAUCAUUAGGAAGCUGAAUAUAGUCACCACAAAUAGUUUUUUCAACUCCAUCUCCAAUUCUUAAUAGAUACUGUGAAAACCACGGAUCCGACUUUGCUCUCAUAUUUUGAAUCAGUUCGAAUUUUUUUAGCGAAGGCCAAAUAUAAGAUGCCCUUAAACUGGAUUCAAUAAUCUCUGCUUUUGUCCCACGUCUUAUGACAGGAAGGACUUGUCUAAAGUCCCCUCCAAAUACCAUAAUCUUUCCGCCAAAUGGUGAAGUGCAUCCUAUUAUAUCUUGCAAUGUCCGAUCAAGCGCCUCAAAUGCAUGUCUUUUUGUCAUAGAAGCCUCAUCCCAAACAAUUAGUGUUGCUUGGCAUAAAAGCUUCGCAAUUCCACUUUGUUUAGUAAUGUGACAAAUGCUGUCUUCAUUGACUAUUAUUGGAAUUUUAAAUCUUGAGUGUGCUGUUCUACCGCCAGGCAAGAUAGCAGCUGCCACACCUGAUGUUGCUGUCGCGAUAGCAAUAAGCCCUAGUGAUCGUACUUUUGCCAACAAUGCUUUAUAAAGAAAAGUUUUUCCAGUGCCACCAGGUCCAUCUAUAAAAAAUAAUCCACUUUUUGAUUCACGGAUGUGACUCAUAAUUUCUUCAAACGCUAUCAUUUGCUCAGAGUUUAGAGAAUGUUGAGCAUUUAAGUGUUCUUCUUCAACAAUAAUUGACAAUUCGUCAUGCACUUCCCUCACCUCAUCUAUAUAAUAAUCUAUGUCAUCUAAAAUGGGUGGUAGAUCAUACAUGAAAAUCUUCUUUCCCAUUGAUUCCAGAAAGAUUGAAAUAUCACGAAGCACAAGUUGCUCGACUCUAAUAGAAUCUAGAUUACCCUGUCGAAAAUCCUCCGAUAUUGAGUUGAAAUGCAUAGUGUAUAAUGCACGUAUAUUUGAUGGCUCGCAAUACACUAAAAUUGUUGCAAAUAGUCGUCGAAGUCCUUGUGGAAAUUGAAAUGUUGAUGCCUCAGCUAAACAUUCAGAAAUACUAUCAUCAGUAUCUAUAAGUCCACGUUUUUCAGCCGAUUCUCUGAAGGUGUUACAUAUUACACCAUUAACAGUUAAAAGAUCAAUAUAUGAUGUAACUCCUCUAACAUGAUUUAGUAAAAUCCUUAAAUAAUAUCGCUCUCCUUCCACUGGGUUAGCAGCUACUACUCUACCUAUUUCGUACUUCUUCUGUCUUCUUUUCCAAUAUUUUCCAGUGCUACACCACACAUAAUGUUCUGGAAACUCUCGAUAUAAAUAAUUCCUAGCUUCUGGAUCAACUAAAUUCAUUCGAAAGUAUUCGGUCAACAUUGUUUUCGAACUGUUCUCCCUGUCAAUUACUCUUUGCAAAUCAUCAAAAUCUUUAAAUGUCACAAAAUGCAUAUCAGGUAAAUGUAAUUGUAAUGACUUUACGGGAGGAUACAUUUCAUUUAAGUUGAAUUGAUAAAUUCUCCACAUAGCCUCCGGCGGAGAUACCCAACGAACAUCUCGAAAUAAAUGAACCUCAUUAAUUUCAAUGUUACUCGAUGAUCCCUCGACAUUCACUGCUCCCCUGUCAUGACCUUUGUAUAUGUACUUGAAUAGAUACUUAACGGCUUUAAUACUUGAGCAUAUUUCAACAUUAAUAUGACAAUUGUAUCGCAUUAGUAAAUAUGGAUUGUACGGUGAGACCCAUCUGUUAUCAAGAAUGGCACCUCUUACUUUUACUCUACGACCAUUUUUUCUCCUUCGGUAUAUAGGAUAUGAAUCCUUUCCUUGAAUAGUAUUCUCAGUGAAUUGUUUAGGGUACUGAAAUCUGCAUUUUCCUUCUCUCAUGCAUGCGUUAUGUGGCUUCAAUGCUCCACAAGGUCCAUGGAUCAUGUGCUUGACAACUAAUUGGUGGAGCAAAGGAUAUUUGAUUUGAUCGGGUAUUUCAGCAGACACAAUUUUAUCAUACUGAUCUGGUGUUGUUAUUUUGUUAUGAGAGGCUAAUAUAAUCAAAAAAUGUGCAUGGGGCAAUCCACGCUUUUGAAAUUCUAUUACAUGCACAUGCGCAGCAACCUGACCAAAUGUAUUUCUUUUGAAUAAUUGGUCUUUUAAGUCUUCAAGUUUAGCUCUAAAAAUUCUUGAAGUCAAAUCUGGACGAUCUUGUGCUAGCUCUCCAGGCCUCAGUUCUGCUUUAAUUUCAUCCCAAUCCGGAUUGCAUGUCAUUGUAAGAAAUAUAUCAGGUUUGCCAUAACGUUGAACUAAUGCCAUAGCAUCUAGAUAGCGCCGACGGAUAUCCCGAGGACCACCUAUAAAAGAUGAGGGAAGUACAAUUCGUUUGUCAGCCAUACUACCACGCAGUUCACCAGAUGCUACACUAUCAACAAUGUCUUGAUACAAAUCGGCUCGAAUUCUUAUUUGGUCCUUAAUAAUGAAAUCCAGUCUCGUUGACUCAAUCUUAAUAUACAUAUCAACUACAAACUGUUGUAAUAAUCUUCCAGAUAAUAACAAUAUAGAUUUCACAGCAGGACGAAUUUGAAGCCUAAAACAAUAGUACUCUCUAAUAGAAAUCUGUUUCCUGUAACGUUUACCAACUCCUGUAAAAAUUAGUAAAUUUAGUUAUAUAUUUAGUUUUUCAUUUAUGAAAGUUCUUUAGUCUAUACAAAUUAUCAAGAAAAAAAAAGUACAAAGUAAUUAAUCACCUUCAUUAUCAUCUAUAAUGAUAUGUUCACUUUGCUGUGAUGUUAGAGUAGUAAUACUCCUGCAGUCUACAUGGUUUGUAGAUGAUAUCCCUUCUCCUGCAAUAGGUAUAUCUGGUUGCCAUCCUGGAUCUCCAUUUGGAAAUAAUAGAGGGUACGAUAAUGGAUCAUAACAUCCAUAAUAUGGUUGAAUGAAAUGAGUAUAGUUGGAUCUAUCGUAGAUAACAAUGCUCCGCUUGUAAAAUUGAGGACAUCCAUUGCCUUCCACCCAAAUAGCUGCAACUUGCGAUGCAGUAGGUGCAUUAUAUACUCUUUGAUCUAGUUCAACACUUGUGCUUAAAGUAAUCCUAUAAUUAUCAAGUGUUCCAAUGUCUCCAAGACUCCUAAAACUUGCAACAUAUGGAUUUGUAGAUAGAAUGCGCACAAGCUUGCUAACCAUUUUGUCAUCAAGAUAAGAUGUUCUUUGCAAUCUAUGAUUGAUGUCAUAAUCAGUAUCAUAAAAGUAUAAUUGCAUGUACUUUGGCCCAUCUUCCUUUGGAACUAACUGAUCCAAAAAGUGAUAUAUUUGUCCUUGUGCACGAAAAGUGUAUAUACCACCUCGCAUAGAUGCACAGUCUUUAUCAAGUCGAACCCCCAUUGACGUGAAGGAAAAAUGAUUAUUAUAUCUUCGGAUAUUGCUUCUAAAUUGAGUUGAUUCACUGCUGUGAGUUGUGAAAAGUUGGUAUAGUUCAUCCGGAACUGUUGGAUGCACUAAAUUAACCUUUCCGUUCAUGCAACAGAAUGCUGGAAACUCAUAUUGAAAUUUUUUUGCCCCACAAUAUACGCAAUUUCGUUGUGUCUUCAAAAUAUGAUGCUUUGUGGGUAAGUUAUGAUAUACAGAAUAGUCAAUACCAUUAUCCUCGCAGCCACCAGAGAGAUUUUGUUCACUUUCAACACUGUUGGAAUUGACAUCAAUGACGGCUAUGUCGGGAUAUUCAAAACCCAAUCCUAUCAAAAUCAUUUAAAAUAAUUAGUUGUUAUACGCAAAUAUAGUUGGAUUUUUUAUUUAUAUUAUAUUACCUUCAGUUGCACUGUCAUUUGUAUCAACUAAAUAGUUAAUUCCUUCGUCACAAUCAUCUUCAAAUUCAUGAGCACUAUCUGUGGAAUAUAAAAAAUUAAGUCUAAAUUAUUAAUAAAAUUAAAUAAUUAUAUGUUAUAAAUUUAUAUAUUGCAUGAAAAAAGUUACAAUACCUUCAAGGGCAAGGCUUGGUUUUUCUAAAUGACUGCUAUUUGAUGCUUCAAGUGACACGCCAGAUUCCCCAAUUUGAUUCUCCAAAGGCACACUUAUAAAAGUAUGACAGCUUUUAUAAGUUUCGCGCCUUUUGUUACGCCUCAUUUCUCUUUCUUCAUUUGUCAUACUUGUAUAUCUCUCGCGAUUAUACAUACGUUUCUUCUCAGCAAAACUGACUGCAUCAAAUUAAUAUUAUAAUAAAUCAUUGAAUGCUAGUGAUAUAUUUGGAAUGUAAUAUUCAUAAUUUCUCUUCUCUAUUACCUUCUGUCCUGGUCUCAUUUGUACUAUUUUCUGAUUCACCUAUGAUAACUGAUUCAGCAUUAUUCCUUUCAGCACGUAGAUUACGUCUCCUUCUUAGUCUAUCUUCUUUUUCUUCAACUGUCAUCCGAGCAUAUCUUUGACGAUUAUAUAGACGUUUUCUUUCAGCAGGCGCUACUACAAUAAAUAUAAUUUUGUAUAAUUAAUAAAUAUAUAUACCAUACUAAAGAUCAUUAUAUUAUAAAGAGCUCUAAUCAUUAAAUAUCCAAUAAUAGGUACCUUGUUUCCCUUUAUUGUUAUCUUGCCUACUCCCUUCCAUUUGUUUGAUGGGAAGAGGGGAUUAUGAAUAUUGUAUAAAAUAUAAGUACUAGUAGCGAUAGGCUACUAGUAUUGCACAUAUCCUUGUAUGGUACAGUCGCUUUUUAGCCGAAAACUGACAGCAAAGAUAAGACUAGGGUAGAAAAUUCGAAAUCGUAGAAUCAGGGGUCUGGGGUGUUAAACAAGUAUAAUCCAAAAGUGGCUAGUAAUUAGGUAGGAUCCCGUUGUAUAUACUGUUUGCGUAUUUAAGAUUUAAUAAUUGUAUUUAUUUUCAAUAGUAAUAGAAUAUUAAGUUAGGGUUGACUACUUAAUAAAUAUCCUANAGUCACUUGAAGAUGAAAAGAUCUUGAUUAUAAUUCCCUUUCCUGCAAUUACUUGAAGACAAAUAAAAUAUGCUUCCUGUUCCCAAUUACUUGAAAAAUGAUUCAAUCGUUGAUCCCAUGUCCAGUUUCUUAAAAACGAAUAAAUCUUGAUUAUAUUCUCAUUUCCUGUAAUAACUUGAAGACAAAUAGAAUAUGCUCUAAGUUGCUUGAAGAUGAAUAAAUCUUGAUUAUCCAUAUUUAUUUGUGAUGAGAGAGAGGAGAGGAACAAAAAAUGGAAAAAAUGAGCGGAAAUAAAAGUGCGGGAAGGAAAUGUGAUGAGAGAGCGGAGAUCACAGAAAAUGAAAAAUAUGAGUGGGAAUAAAUGGAAAAAAACUUAUAUUUUGGAAAUAAAUAGAAAAAUUUAAUAUGUUAUAUUAAAAAGAAAAGAUAUAUUGAAAUUCGGAAAUUAACAUAUAAAAGAAAAAUUAUUUACAAAUUAUAGAAAAAUAAAAUACCUUUUUCAAAAUAAUUUUUAAAUUAAACAGAAAAAUAAAAUCCGUAAUAUUUAAAAUUUAUUUUUGAAGUUAAAUAGAUAAUAUAUAAAAAAGAUAUUAUUAAAUUAAAUAGAAAAAUAACUUUUAGAGGAAUUUCACACCCGUAAUCUGUUAUAGAAAAUUAACUUUUAAAUAGGAAAGUUUAUUUAUGAAAAUUUACACACCAUAUUUUGAAAUUAAAGAAAAAAUAAAAAUCGUUAGAAAAUUUUUUUUUUGAAAAUAAAUAUAAAAUAAAAUCAAUCUUUUUUAAAAGAAAAUAUAUUUUGAAAUUAAAUAGAUAAUAUCCGAAAUA